UCUUCCUCAGCCACUGCCGCACUGGAGUCGCUGCUCCAGCUGCCGCACCUCCGCCUGCUGCUCCGCCUCCGUCCCGUCCAGGCGCGACAGCCCCAAGUCAAUGACCACGCAGCGCGGCCCCACCGCCGCCUCCGCAGCCGGCAGCAGGAACAUGAAGUUGCUGAGCCGGAUGUCGCCGUGCAGGAAGCGCCCGCCACUGCCGCCGCCAGCAGCGCGAAUGUCCGCCGCGUGCAGUACCUUAAGCGCGUGCACCGCCGCCGCCGCCGCCGUCGGCUGGAUGUAGCCCCACUGCUCCGCCGCCUGACGCAGCGUCAAGCCCCGCACCCGGCUGGUGGCGAUGAAGCGCACGUCGCCGUCCGGCGGCGGCUCCCACUCCUCCUCCUCCUCCCCCCCAGACAGUGGUGGCGGCGGCGCCAGGUCACCCAGGCGGCCAGCGGCCAGCAGCCGCGGCAGCACGUCGCCCUGCAGCGCGGCCAGCGCCCGGUAGGCACUGCACUCCGCCUCGAAGGCCGCGACGCCGUGCUCGUCCGAGUCCAGGAUCUUAAGCACCGCCUCCUCGCCGUUGACGCGGCCGGUGCAGGCAAGGCCCGCGUAGCCCACGUGCAGGACCUCGGGGUCGGCCUCAAUGAGGAGCGGCGGCAGCGGCGGCGGCUGGCGGAGGCAACAUGCGCGCCGCCGCCAGUGAUGCGCGCUGCUGCCGGUGACGGGCGCAAGGCUCGCUCCGUCUCCGCCUCUUGCUUCGGAUGGAGAGGCGGGCGCCAGCGCAAGGCGCGCUGCGCCCUGUUCGUCCCAAUGCUGCAGCAUCGAGGGCUGCGCCUCCGCCUCCCCGCCGGCUGCUGCUCGCCUUGCCGCUCCCGCCGGCGGGCUCGUCGCCGCCCGGCUGCCAUGUGCCGCCAGCCCCGCACCGCCCACGGCCUGCCCUUCCGUGUGCCCCGCACCGCCGGCAGCAGCGCCCCCGGGCUGCCCGCCGCGACCAACUGCACCACCGCCGUCACCGCCACCACUGCUGCGGCUGGGCCCUGCGUCCGGCUGCCCGGGCGGCGCUGACCGCGACCGCCGCCGCGCAAGCCCUGCUGCAGGUGGGUCGGGCACCUCCGGCAGGCUGAGCAGCAUGGUGUACAGGGUGGCGGCGGCGGCUGUGACUGCCGGCUGUUGGUCCGUGUGCUCCGUUGGCGCCAGAAAGGGCCCUGCCAGGUGCAGCACCCCGUCGCGCGCGCGGCCGCGCUUGCGGCUGCUGCUGCCGGUACCUGCCACGCUGCCACUGCCGCCGACACCACCCAUGCCAUCAGGACCGCUGCCGCUACAGCCACCGCCGCCUGCGCCAGCAGCCAGCGCACGUGCAGCAGCGGCGGAUGCACUUCGGGUUGUCACGCCGGUACUGCGGGCACGGACUACUGCGGCGGCUGCAGGACCCACCGAUGGCGCCUGCAGCUGCUGCUGCUGCCGGGGUUGGGGUUCGGUCUGGUUCUCCAGCAGGACCUGCGGCGGCGGUGGCGAGCACGUGCGGCGCACCGCCCACAUGGCGUAGUGGCAGCUGACAAUAGCGUACCUCACUCCCAGGCGGUCCAUGUACUCAUUGACCUGCAUGUUAAGGCAUGAACGAGCGUACGAGCGAGUACUGCGUCAUUGAAUCGUCAACACGUACGACGGCACCGGGGAGGCACCAGGUGAGCAACGAGGAGGCACGUCACAUGUAUGCGCGCUGAGAGCCAGAUCGACGCAGAAGGCACGGGAAGAGACUGCAAAGGCACUGAGGGGCUACAGUGUGCGCGCUUCCGUCCACGCGAACAAGCCCAUCCCAGCAACUGUAGCGCGCAUGCCGUCACAAACGCAUUGAGGCGGUCUGCUGCUUAUGCAGCUGCAUGGCUCGGGCGAGUGCUACGGCUCGGGCUGGGGCUCGCUGGGGCUCGGGCGAGGGCUGUGGGGCCCACCUGUGCCAAUAUGGCGCGAACACGUGUGUCGCCGCUCAGCCACAGGUCCACCAGCGAGCGCGGCGUUCUGCCCUCCAGCAUCAGUGCUGGCGCCUUCAUCUCCACAAAGCUGCGGCACUGCUGCCAGGUCGCGUCGUCAUCCGAGAUGACUACAAUGAGCGGCAUGUCUGGGCGCAGCGAGCCGCCCCCUCCCUGCACAAGCCACUCAAGACCCUCCUGGCUGCUGGCCACCUCGCGGAUCUUCUCAAGGCUCAUCUCAGCACCCCAAUAAACACUGCUCACGCGGCCAGUCCUGGCAGCUGGCACGGCCGCAGCAUCACUACCAGCAGCCGCCGGCUCCACCCCAGGCGUUAUACCGGCGGGCGCCGGCUUCGCCGCUGCCCCACUGCCCACUGCUGCCGCCGCUGCAGUGCGGUCGGCACUGGCGCCGCCACGCAACCGCUCCAACAGGCCGUUGACCAGGAUGGUCAGCACCUUGAGCAGCGGGCGCGUGCCGAAGCAGGCGACAGCUUCAUUGAUGAGCACUUCAGGCGGCCCUUGCUGCUGAAGCAGCACCCUGUCGAUUGGCGGUUCCGACACAUACGAGCGCCACACGCAACGCAGUGUCAUACUGGGGAUAACCCAUGGUUGCCCAAGGAAUUGGCUAAUCUACCGGUAACGCAACGACCCUGGCCUGACGACAACGAUCACCUCACCCACCCAUAUCACGGCACUCACCGAAUAGGCUCGCCGUCAGCGCUGCAGAAGAUGUCAUCCGCAUGCAUGAUGAGCGUGAGCACCUCAGCGUCGAAGCUACUGCCGCCACCCCCACUGUUGCUGCUGCUGCUGCUGCCGCCGCCGCCGCCGCCGCCGCCCUCCGUGCUGCUUGUACCAUGGCCGGCCCCGCCCAUAGCUUGGAAGCCGCUAGCAGUGGCGUGGCUGCCACAUGCGGCCGCCAAGCGGCCGAAGAGCGCGGGAAUGCGUUCUUGCGGCGCCACAUGCUCCCAGGUCUUGCAAUCUACGGGCUCCGCGUGAUCUAUCUUCAGCGAGCGACUAGGCUUGUCAAAGCGGGAUGGCAGGGCCGCGUCUGGGAGCGGAGAUCGUAGGAAGACCGUUGGCCGAACGCCUGCGGAGCGGUCAAGGCACGGCAAGCGACCGUCACGGUCCUUUGCUCUUGCGCAGGCAUCAAAGCGCGUUGGUUCAUUCCAAAUCGCGCCCACAUCAUACCUGUCUUCCUGCAGAUUUUGAUAAGGAACUUCAAUAAAGUUGGGUCGAUUGCACUGCCGAUCGCAUCGGCAAACUUUUUUGGACUGAGCCCCCCAAACCGCUGAUGUGCACAAGCCGCUAGUGAGAAUUCCCUGGGCCCGCGCAACACAAUAACUCACCGGCCCCUGCCGCGCUCCCCAUGCCCAGGCCAGCCGCCGCAACUGCAUCACCUGAAAGCGACCGAAACACAGAUGCAAACGAAGUGAAGACAUGAACGAAAGGCAUGCGCAGUUUGGAACGGCGCUGCACGUGCACGAUGCAGGCUGGUGGACGGCAAAGGAGAGCCUGCGCCCCCAACCUCACAAUGCACCACCGCGGUCCAGCGGCCACCCUCUGAGCUGCGGCGUGUCGUGACCAGCCGCUACCCUGUGCGCAUCGUCCCACUCACCAGCUUGUGCUGUGCCCUGGCCAGCCGCCGCGCCUGCACAACGUGAAAGCGAUAACAGGGCAAUGCAGGCAGUCAGCAUCGCCAGGGCGGAACGAAUCACGCCUCGCCAACAAGGGCCAGAGACCGAGCGCCGCAAGGCUCCGGCGGAUGCAGACAGUCAUUGACACUUUGAGCCCGGGCAUAGCUAGCCUCCUGAACUCCCCCGGUCUGCAUCUGCUGCCACCUGUGACCUGGCAACACAUUCCUUCGACCAACCCCGACCCAAACCAUCGUUGAAGCUCAUCCCGCACCCCUCUCCGAUGCCGCUCCACGUCCGGGGCCUCGCCCCCGACCCAAGCGGAUCCUGUCACGAUCAUGCCCACUAAUCCGCCCUCCGGGCUAUCGCUACUGCAGCGCGCGCGUGACGUGCGGCGCGUGCAUGCGCGGCAAUGAGUUUUCACCCAUGGCCCGUGGGUGUCCUGUGGGGAUGUCAUGAUUGACAGUGGUGAGGGUUGCGUGGGUGCGGGUGCGGGUGAACGCGGGCCAAGACAGGCACACGAGACCCCCGCUGCCACCCACGCCGGCGCAUACCACACGCACUGCUCCCCCUCUAUCUGCCCACCGCGCACCUGCUGCUGUGGCGGGUCUUCGCGCAGCCCUCUAUCGCCGAUGGCGCCAAGUUGCCAGGGCCGAGCCGAUAAAUAAUAUGAAGGGUCACGAGAGGCGCAGGAGCUUCCGGAGAGUAACGAGGCUCCGUAAGGCAAAGGAAAUAAAGCGGGGCGCGCUCGCGCCAUAGCGGGAGCUGCGAGUUCGGUCAGCAUUGGACUGUGCUCGCUGGCCGGAGUUUUGGAAGUUCGGGGUCGACUGGGGUUGGCUCGUUCGAACUGGCGGUGCAAACUUCCGGCGAAUGGGCCGGAGUUUUGGCCGGAGUUUUGGGCAAACUUCCGGGGCCCCAUCCCCGGAAAUUUCCUGUGCCGAUGUUCCGAUUCCAGCCGAGUUCCUGUCCCCGCCUUAUACAGUUGUCUUAAUACAUAUAGAAAGUAGUAUUGAGAUCGGCAGCCGAGCCCCAAACGCCCUCCAGCGACCAGGGCCCGAGGUGGCCCAACCAAGGCACUUUUAGUGCUAUUGCCCUCUUCAAAACAGCAAACACAUGCACGUGCUAACCACGGAAUCGGGAUAGCAGGCGGUGCCUUGUGAAAGAGCAACUCCCACACGCACAGAACACCUGUGCGGACCUCACCUUGAGCGCGGAUAAUUUGGUCUGCCCGUGCGGGUUUUAGUUUGGCGUCCCGAAGUCCACUAUAGCUCGCAGCCUCCAGAUCCUCCAACGUAGCGUAUCCUGGUUUAUCAACCGAGGGGGUAGGAGUGGCGGUAGUGCCAGGGUUAGGAAAGAGAGGAAAAGGUAGCGGGGCGGGUCCACGCAGGGCCCGGCACGGGCGCCAGGCCGUGACCAUGCCCCGCCGCAAGCGCCGUGGCGGUGCAACCAUGAAUCGAAUUGAAUGAGAGCGGAAAGGAGCAGCAUGGACACCAGAGGCAGCAGCGGGUUCUCGCACCGGCCCUGGAAACCAUUGAAAGACCACAGCGGCUCUUCAUGCGUUUAGCGCUUGGGCUUUCACGCACCACAGAAGAAGCGUAUAUAGCAACCGAGGAUUCACUCGGCGAGCGAACACAGACAUUGCAGCUUACCACCGUCCCACAGCAGGCGCAAAUCCUCCUCGGUGAAACGGCUAGCUCCAACAGGCCCGAGCCAUUCUCCUAAAAUUACACGCAGGCCGAGCCAAGCCAUAACAUAGGCUCUAAUAAGCUGUAGGAACGCGAGGAAGUACCAAAUUGCCCUUUUGGAUGGAACGACUCCCAGACUGUAGGGUCACAGUCCUGUUGCCGUAAAGAGAAAUGUUUUCAGAUAGCCCCUUGAGAAUCUCUUGAACGCGUGCCUCAAACCAUAGACUGAUUGACAGGGAUGGGGUGAUACCCGCCUGCCGCACCUCAGGACCAUCCUGCGGCCAUUGCACAAUCCCUCGUUUCUCCUCCACGCGCCGCAAACGCUCCUCAGCGUUUGGAGGGGCGGCGGGCAGUCCCGUAUGUUGUCUGCUGGCUGCCAACAGGAGGAGCAAUUGAGCACAGGCCGGCGUGCCGUUGAUCGUGUCAAGCAGGACUGUGUGCAGCAACAACCGAAUAGCGCACUGGUAGGUGAAGCUUGAAGACAUUCACGCGCUCACCCGCAAAUGGCUGGUUGGCUGCGUCCUUGGCGCCGAUACGACCGUAGAGGCGGGCAAGCAGGGGAGGGGCAGGCAGGUGAAGCAAACAGUGCAGGGGCGCUCGGCCGUGCCGUGAGGACAGCGCGCCGGUGUGGGGUUGCCCAGUGCGCUGCGGCCGCUGCCAGCAGCCGCUGCCCCUGUCACUCUGUCAGUGCCACCACGCCGGUCACUGGGUCACACCCACACGGGUUUGACGCCGUGUAGGACUCCGUCAGGGGUCGUAUCUUGUUUUCGGGGUGAUGUCUGGCUCCAGACAAAAACGGCCGGAUGGCCGCCGUCUUUUGUCUGAACACAAGGCGGUUUGGGGGCUUCUCCUUAGGAAUUCGGACAAAACCCGCCCCAAACCUGGGCCAACAAAGUCUCACCUCAGACAUUAGCCCCCGGGAGGAAUGUCUAGGAAACGACCAAAAUGGCCGAUUAAUGUCUGGAGACAUUAAGAUAGGAUGCGGAUGUUACAGAGGGGACAGUCCCAGCACCCGAAGACGCCGAGCCAUCACAUGCUAUCAGGGCCCAACUUGACUCCACCAACCCCGACUUUGCUGCAAACCCUCCCGCGGGCAAAGUCCGUGUGACUCCACGCACAGUGAGUCCUAGCCAAGCCUCAACCCGCCAAAGCCCCACCGCUGUGCCUCAACGCCACAAGCCUAGGCACAGGAGUGCCGGGAAACGUCUAGGCCGCAGGACACACGCACAGCGCACGCACUAACCAGGGCGCAAGCGUCCAGGUACUAGAACGGUCGCCCACACGUGCAUCCUGCCCACACACAGAGCCAACAACCACGCACAACCUCUCACGGCGAGGGGGGCGGGGAAUCAGCGUCAUACGGCAAGCGCAAAACCAUGCCGUCAUCAACAGCCCGAGAUAUGAAGGGAUGCGCAAACGGCACAGCGUCCCAACCCUUUGGCCUGAUACCCAAAGUCACAAACCCCAGAAGUCAGCUACGACGGCAAGUCCAAUGCUCAGCACCCGGGCCGACGGCAGCUUCGCUCGCGCCGCCAACCCGGCCAUAACCACACGCUGCCGACCAAAGUCCAGGGCAGACAUAGCAGCGAGACACACCACAUCCCACACAGGUGGCGCAAGCCCCGCAGGCGGGCGCACUAACCACAACUCUUCACGAGAGAAGGCACUUAGAGCCUCCUCCGGCAGGAAACCCAUAGCCAUCCCCAUACUUUCCCGAAGUGACAGCGCAACAGUGCAGUCCCAAAACCAGUGACGCCGGUCCCCAUCCUGCAUGUCAACCCCACACGCCCAACACGGGUCAACAGUAACGCCUCGCGACCGCUCGCUAGCAUGCCGUGGAAACGCCCAGCAAGCGUUGGCGGCCACACGCCACAGUGCUUCCUUAUGUUGAUUCUCCCAUUUCAGCGACCACAAGCGGGCCAAGGUGCACCCGAAGGCCCCCGCCGCCAGGGCAGCCCCCACCCCCGACACACCCGCAUCGCACACAUACUGCAAAUGCUUAGCCUUCAGGGCGGCUAACUGUGGAGCCAUUUGUAGCACGGUCCCCGCCUUCACCGUGUAGGCAGUGAGCAGGAUGGGCGGCCCCCCUCUCUGCAACCAUCCAAGUCCCCGCACCACCCGUUGCACCGACUCCGCCGUAGCACUCACGACGUCGGCCACCGGGAGCGGCUCAGCGGCAGCGCGGCGGCCGGCCCCCGAGCCAGCUGGGCCGCACGCGCGGCGGCAGCCCAGCCAGCGGGAAGAAGGGCCACCGCCGCCGCAAACCGGUCGGCUGCCUCUUGAGGCGACGCCGGCCCCGGCAGGGGCGACGGCAGGCGCGCCCGCGUGCUCCAGUGCAGCACCCGCAGCCACACAGCGGUCACAUACAUAUCCACACACGCUUCACCAGACCGGGAGCCCUCCGCCCAAGGGCGUGUCAAUGCCUGCCGCAGUUCGUUCAGGCCGUCAUGCGCUGCAACCAGCUGGCCCACACACGCCAGUCCCGGCAGGGCGAACAAAUCCGCGAAAGCCACUUCCCACGUGCGGCCGUCCUCACACAGCGCCGGGUUAGCCCAUAACGGCACAUGACUCACCCACGCGCCCGGCUCGGGCGGCGCCACAAGAGUCACCGCGGGCAAUUCAGUCAUGGCUUUCAGCAGGCGUGCAAACGGCUUGCCCGCCGGGGUGAGCGGCUUAUUUAGCACACGGUCCGCGGCCCCCCGCACCAACAAACGCAGGGGCGUUGCCGCCGGGUGCACCUCGCGCCGCCACGCCGCCGCGACCCGGGUCCACGGGGGCACGUACGGCAGCAGACCACACACACCCAACACACACCGUACCGCGAGACCGGCUUGCCGCGCUUUCACAUGCGGCACCAGCGGCAACAGGCCCGCCCCCCCCCACUCAUUGCCCGUGCCUGGCCUCUGUUUGCCUGCGCCCCCGGCCCCCCCCCCCCCGCCACAUGCCCCAUCCCGCGCACUCAUCCCGCCCCUCUAGUCGUUGCUCGUUCACCCGCCCCACUCUCUCUUUCUUUGUCUCUGAGCCGCGCGUGGGGUCCCAUAGAUUAUGUACUGCCUUGCUUUGCCUGUCCCGCGAUUACUACUAACGCUCGCCGCCAUGCCACGUUCCUACAUGUGCCUCUUCGCCUUUGCUGUUGGACGCUUCUACCUGGCGCUCCUCCGUUCGCGUACAGGUGAGUAUGUUAGUUUAGAUUUGCAAGUAGUUGGGCGACGGGGUCCGCGCGCGGCUCGCACUGCUGACAUGACUUCGGAGCUGCUCUGGACUGCUCCUUCCACCUGCUGCUGCUACGCUGCCCAAGCCCGCCCGACUACCUAUGGUGAUGUACCACAGCUCGCAUAUGCGGCUGCAGUUUCUCCUUGCAGCGCGACUGUUUCCUUACGGGAUUGGUUCAAAGUUAACCCCCCCCACCGCCGGAGAUAGGAGCCCUGGGUCACUCCGUUGCGGGCACGGUCAUUCCUCCGGCAGGUCGUGGUGUCCCCCAGACCGUCCUAGCGGCGUCCCCCCCCCCCCACACACAGCCACACACACACACACACACACACACAGCCACACACACACACACACACACACACACACACACACACACACACACACACACACACACACACACACACACACACACACACACACACACACACACACACACACACACACACACACACACACACACACCAGGCAAGACAGGAUCGGGGGCCCGACACUCGCCUUGAACUCCCUGCACCGCUGCAGCCAAGUCAGGAGGGAGGAGGCGGGGGAACAGCACUUGCCGCAGUCAAGGCACGAAUCAAGGCAGAGUAGGGUUCCCUGAUGUGAGGAGGGGUGAGGCGCGCUGAGCUGCCAGACCUCGUCCAAUCCGUUCUUCAUGCCCGAUAAAGUCCGAGCCGUGUGGGGUCCGCUAUGUCCGGGCCCUGUCGUGCACGCCAGAGUGCUCAGACACGUGGCGUGUCAGGUUUUGCUGGGGUGCUGCCUGGUGCUGCUGCGAUGUGUUGGGUACAGGCCCUUGAAACCUUGGAAGCUAAUGAGAGCACCUUUAAUGCCCAUUUACAAUCAAGGUUCCGAUACGUGUCCAUACUUCGCAGCCCACGCGACACCGCCCCUGUGGCUGUAGCUGCCGUGUGCGCAAUUCAUGCCGAAUUGCUGAUCCUACCAAGGCGCCAAGCACGCAUACUUGCCGUCCGCAUCCUGUACAUCUCCAAAAAGGCAGCAGCCACCAGAUAGGCAUGCGCAGCACAUACAAUACCGUAUACCGCUACUGGCAAGCCCACAAUCCGUAGUUCCCUUUCUCCCACCCCUUUUCCUCCGCCUCUGCGCUGCCCCCUGCACUAUCCUCCUCUGCUCCUACCCUCCUCCUCCUGCUCGUCCUCCCCCUCUCCUCCUCCUCCUGCUCCUGCGUCCCCUGCUCACGACAGCCCCAGCUUGGGCUUGAGGCUGGGCGCCUCGCACAGCUCCAUGUAGGUCACGGCGCCACCGCCCGCGGGCAGCUCAGCCGCCACCGCGUCCAGGAAGGCCGGAGUCACCUGAGGGGGGUGGGGGUGGGGGGUGGCCGUGGCGGCAAGGCGGCGAGUCAGGGACGGGAUAGCAAGGGAGGCAGGCGCCGCCAAUCCGGCAACCCCCGCCACGUGUGCAGCUCGCCCCUUCUCCAGCUCGCCAACCCGUCCUGGCGCUCUGCAACCUACCGCUACCAGGCACCAAACGCACGCCCCUCCCCCCCCUAUUGCAUUGGGUUUGGUUUAGUAUGGGCUGGUAUCUACAACCCUCCCCCUCUCCCCCCCCGUGCCCGGGCACACACGCGCCACACCCACGCGCACCUCGGGGUCCAUGUCGGGGCCCAGGUGCGCGAUGAGCGUGAGCAGGUCCUGGGCGGGCAGCGAGCCGUUGUCGGAGAAGACGUCGAACACGCCCAUGCACACGCGGUUGAAGUCCUCGCAGCUCAUAGCCAGGCACAGGAACACGAACUUGGACAGGUCCACGGCGGCGGGCGUGAAGGCGCCCACCUCCAUCACCUUGGCCACCACCGCGUCCGCGAUGCCGGCCUGCUGGCACAGGCCCGUGACCUGAGAGGCGGGGGAGGAGGGGGAAGGGGAAGCAGGAGGCGGGGUGGGGAGGCGAGGGGGAGAAGAGGGGAGGGGAAGGGGGGUUCCAGGAGCAACGCCACGGCAUGGGGUGGCAGCAGGCUGUGGGCGCACGCCAUUAAUGGUCGCACAGCCGGCGGUCCCGUGAGAUGGGGGGCCACCGGGAUGCGGGGCGGCCAGCCGUAGAGAGCGACGGCGCGCGCGUGCCACGAUGGCUCCACCACCUACCUGCCGUCGCCGUCAACCCCUCCACCGAGCUCCCAUGCGUGGGUUACCGCAUUAAUAUAUAACCAUUCAACCGGUAAGCAUGACUAGACAUUACGCACACCCAACAGCCGCCUGCGCAACCCCUAGGUUCUCAACGUGUCUGUCCCAACACACCCGUCCACGCCUGCGCACCUGCGACUCCGUUAGCGUAGCACCGCCGCUGCCGCCUCGUGUAUACACUUGCCGUAGCUGCUCCUUAGCUGGUGCGCUGCUGUUUGAUACCCCAGACGCCACAUUCGCGAGGUUCGUGAAGUAUCUGUGCGGGGAGCGUCGGUGUGCCGGUUAGGGCUGAAGCUCAAACGUGUGUGUUGGUGGGCAAGCCGCGGCCACCAACCGCGUCUGUGUGACUCCGGUGCCCCGAGCCGAACUCAAGUCAACCUACUUUGCCGAGAAUGCUAUGAGGUCCGUUGGCUGCCGACGGAUGACCUCUUUCGUGUAAGCUUUAAGAAUGUCCGCAAGGUUGUGCGGAAUGACAAUCUGCAAUGAAGCAAACAAUGCUUGAGGAUUUGCGCUUGGCAUUCGUUGAAUUUGAGCAGCUGCUGCGCGCGCGCCGAGUACAUGGCCCGACCUGCUCCGCGCAGAAGAUUGGCUCCACGUCCAUUCUCUAGGUAGAUUUCUACUUCGGGUGAUAUGUAUCCAGAGCUCGACGGGCACUGGGUCUACAGCAAGAGAGUCAAAACGAAGCAACGCUUCCAGCAGAGACACUUUGUUUUGUAUGUGUCGCUUGCUGAUAAGAUGAGUGAAGUUUCUUGUGUAUGCUGGUAUGCGUAACAAUCUGCGAAGACCAAGUCGAGGCGGUUCGAAGUGACCAGCGUACCGUCCCAAUCAAGCCGUGCCGUUUCUAUGCUCGCGCACUCAGCAAGGACAAAGUAGCAGCCAUUUUUAGCCAUAAGACCGAUCAUUGGCUUGCGGCUCGCAGUUUGCAAAAUGUUUUGACACCAUCCAUCUCUUGCACUCCCGAGCACGAACUGGCUCCAAAGUUCAGAGGCAGUCUCAGGUCGCCAACGACCGCUGGAUGGUCUUUUGAUAAAGGCUGUGAGCUGAUCAGGCUGAGACCGUGCAGGAAAGCACGUCAACCGUGACGUCAACAUCACGUUACAGUCUAUCAAGCAACUCGGAGCCCUCAAUGAAUUGCAGUCCACUUAUCACCUGAGGAGAUACCUGAACACGCAGGCGCAUGUCCUUGCUGCGUUCACCGCAGCUGUCAGCAGCCAUCAAUCAUUGAUAUGGCACACUCACACCCAGAAGCGCACAGCCACCGAGUGCUCCCGCAAAGCAGCGAGGUGCCGCGUGAAGAGGACAAUCACCACAAUGCUCACCACGCACACCACAAUGCUCAACAGCCACAGUACGUAUCGGUAUGUUGAUUUCGGUCUCGAGCUCUGCGCACCUAUUGACGGCGGCAGGUCACAUAGACACACACACGUAGAAGCAAAGGUUCAAUCAUCUUGAAUGGGAGACGGCAAAAGAACGACAGACGACGUAUUCUGCCCAGCCAGUCGCACAUGUCACCGCCCCGUCCAAUCUGUUGAAGUGUUCAUGAAGGUAGCAGCAAUCAGCAAGUGCGUGUAUGCUUAAUUAGCGCCGCCCAUUUGCAGGUCGGCAGUGCGACUAGAUAUGCCAGGUGUGCACACGGCACGUCACGUGCCCUGUAUGCCGCCGCCCUUGAAGAGCUGACUAAUAGACCGCCGCGUCACGUGCACCGCCACACGCCGUCGCUCGGGCUGAACCUCCUUCCGACCACCCCGGCUGCCAAGCCGCAUUGCACAAUCUCCUCCAAUGCAUGGGGGGAGGGCUGCCGAGCAGGGUUCUUCAGUUGUUGUUUCUUACGUACCGUACCGUAUUGCGAAUAAACAAACGGUUUGACCUGCCCGUGUUAACUGCGGCUUCACACUGGCCCGCCCCAUCCCGCCACCCGCCUCCCUUACUACCCUGCAGCCCUGCGGCCCUGCCAUCACUUGGGCUGCUGCGAGGGUUGCUGGCCCUGCACCUGCCACGGCCCCACCACCCACUUCCAGCGGCACACGUAGAUGGCGCCGCGGUCCGCCCGCUCCGCAAAGUCCGAGCUCAGCAAGCGACUGGACAGCGACAUGCGAGGACUGCGCUCCGGCCGCGCACCGCCGCCGCCGCCCGCGUCCGCCCCUGACCCCACCAGCAAGCCGCGGAGGGUGGGCCGACUGCCGCGCUCCCGCUCUUGCGCCUGUGUGCCGCCCCCGGCCCAGGUUCCUGCUGCCGCCGCGGCCGUGCCGCCUGGUGCGAUCUCUGCGCCGGCCGUGUUGCCGUCGCUGUCCGGCACGACCAGCGGCGACGGCAGGGCCUGCCCCAGGCCGAAGCCCCGGCUGCGGCCGCGGACCUGCGCCAGCGGCACCGGGGCAGUGGGCGCCUGCGCCGGCCACAUGCCGCUGCCUCCGCCGCCAGCGGCGCCAGCUGCCGCGCCCGACAUGGACGGCAUGGGUGAGGCCGCGGCGAGCACUGCGGCGGUGUAGCUGCGGUGGGACAGCGUGUGGUUGCGCGCCAGGACGCCGGCGCCGGAGCCGCCGGGCGUGGGGAGCUGCUGCGGCCCUAGCGGCGACGCCAGUGAUGCUGGGUACGACUGCACGCCUCCGCUGGUCGCGUCUUGGAGGCCUGCGGGGUGUGGGCAUGCGGGGCCAUUUUGCUAUCACGUCAAACAGCUUCAUUGCCGCAGUGGGCAUCCAGUCUUGGGUAUCAGCAGAGCGUUUCUGACCGCAAACAGGGUGGCAAAAAGGGACUACGGGAGCGAAGCACGCACCUGAUAGCCAAGGGGGCGGCGGCAGCGCAUACUUGCCUACCACCGCACCGCCGGGGCCCGCCGCACCGCCGCCCGAAGCGCCUGCAGCGCCCGCAGCACGCCGCGCAUGCACUGCCGUGGGCGCACGCCGCCACAUCACCACCGGAGCCUCACCGGCCGCCGCCGCCGCCGCCGCCGCCGCGCCUGCGCCCGCAGGCAGCGGCGACAGCGCCGACGGCAUCGCGCUGAAGGCAGUCACUGGCGGCUGGCUGGCCAGGGGGCUGCGGCCACGUGGCUGCGGGUGCGGGUGCAAGUGCGCCGCCGCCGCCGCCGCCAGGUCAGUGACGUCAGCGGCGUCGCGGAUCUCGCUGCUGCCGCCCGCAGCCGCCGAGUCGCAGCCGGCGGGCGCCGCCACCGCGACACUCAGCGGCAGGCGGCCCACGCUGCCACCGGCGCCGGCGCCCUGGGUGUGCAGGUGGGCGGCAGGCCGCGACUGCCAGCCGCUGGACUGCUGCUGCUGCUGCUGCUGUGACUGUGCGCCUGCCUGCGCGCUGGGGCCUGUGGCGCCUGCGGGGUCCUGGUGGGCAGUGCCGCCGGGCAGCGCCAGGGCGGGCAGCGCCACCGAGCCGCCCUCGGGCAGGUCCGGAGUGAUCUCAGGAGCCCCGGCGACAACCCCUGCCGCCACCGUCGCCGCCGCCCCCGUCUGAGGCACUUUACCAGAACCAGCAGCGCCCGCGGACACCGGCGGCAGGUGCGCGGGCGCCGCCGCCACCGCCGCGCCGGCGGGCUGCAGCGGCAGCGGCGACGUGGACGUCGCGGGCGCCAGCACCACCCCGUCUCCGCCCACCAGCGCCAGGUCCAGGUAGGGGUGGCUGCCCAACGCGGCCGAGCCGGCCGGCGUGAGCUGCGCGUACGUGGCGUAGGGGCUGGGGGAGUGCAGGGCCGCCUGAGACAGCGACAGCUGCUUCUGCAGCGGCCGCGGCGGCAGCAGGGCCGCGCCGGAGGUGGAGCCGCCGCCGCCGCCGCCGCCGCUGCCUAUGAUGGCUGCGGCCCCCGGGGUGAUGUACCACUGGCCGCUGCCUCCAGCGGCUGCUGCGGCAGAGGCGGCAGAGGCGGCGUUGCCAAACGGCGAGUGCCGCUGGGCGGGCCCGGUCGGCCGGGAUCCGGCUCCAACUGCUGCCUCGCCAGCCGACGCCGCUGACGCCGCGGCCAUCAUGUCCUCCAGGACGCGGCGCGGGCGGUCGCCGGAGGCAGAGACGUAGGCACCGCCGCUGCCGCCCAUGGGUGGGCUGUGCAGCUGGCUGUUGCCGCUUGCGGCGCCAGUCAGCGGCAGCGGCUCCGACUGCUGAUGCUGAUGCCCCCGCGAGCCACCGCGCGGCGGCAGCGAGACGGGCGAGGAGCCCGCGGCGGCUGCGGCCGCGGCCGCUGCGUUGCCGCUGCCGGCGUCGGCGUGCUGGCCCCGCUGCAUGCUGCGGCGCUGGAACCAGGACGGCUGCUGCGGGUGCUGGGGCUGGCUCUGCUGCGCCGUCCGGAGCUGCUGCUGCAGCCGCUGCAUGCUGCCGCCCCGCGACCCCCCGGCCCCGCCGUAGCCGUAGGCGUGGCCCUGGCUGCCCGGAGGCGACAGCGGCGGCGAGUAGAGCGGAGGCGGGGAGGCGGCGCCUGCCGCCUGCGGGACCGGCGAGCUCAUGGUUGCGGCGCCGGCCCCGGCGCUGGCUGCCUCUGACGGCACCAAGGCUGAGGCCGACGUCGCCGACACAGCCGAUAUGGCCACUGACACACGCGGUGACAGCUGUACAACAGCCAUGUCCGACCCGUCCUCUUGCGAGGGCAUCUCUCCGGGCGCCGUGACUUCGGCGGCGCCAGGAGCGGUCCCAGCCGCGGCGGGGCCGGCAGCUGGGUCGGCGGCCAUGGCAGCCGGCUUGCGCGGGGAGGGCCCGGCACUGCUGACCGCUGGCGAGGGCUGCGGUGGCUCCCUCAGCGCCAUGGUUGCCUCCUCCUCCUGCAGAGAGCCCUCCUGCUCUUCCUGCUCUUCCUCCACUUCCGCCUCCUGCUCCUGCUGCUGCGCCGUGCCCUUCUCCUGCCCCGCUGCACCCGCUGCCUCCGCCCCAGAGCCCGCUGCCCCUGCAUCCGGCGGGGCCAGCCUCGCCAGGCGGAUGGAGGGCUCGCGCGACUCGGACGCCAGGCGACUGCGGCCCGGCAGCACGCCCGCGCCCGCGCCCGCGCCGGUGCCGGUGCUGCCCUGGCUGGGCCGCGGCGGCAGCAGGCCGUCAGCUGCCGCGCAGGCGGGCGACACCACCACGACCACCUCCAGCGGCUGCAGGUGCGGAUCAGCGGCAUGCCCGGAGGCAGCGGCACUGACGGCGGGCUGCCCGGGCGCGCGGCUGCUGCCGCUGCCGCCACGCCCAGACGACACGGCGGGGCGGGCGGGCGGCAGCGGUGGCAGUGGGGCGUGCGGCGGCCAGUCCCGGUCGAAGUCGGAGAGGUCGGAGGGGUUGGACGAGUUGCCGCCGGAGCCCGCAGCGGCGGCCGCGGCGGCGGCGGCGGCAGUGCCGGUCCCGGCAGCAGCAGCGACACGCAGCGCUGGCGCCGAUGGAAUCGGUGUGGCGCUGCCGCUGCAGGCCUGCACCGACGAGAUCCGGUGCAUGGCGGCCGUGCCGCCACCCCCAACUUCGCUGCUGCUGCCACGAAGGCGCGAGGCGCUGCCGCCGCUGUCGCGGCCCUCCCGGCCGGUACCGCCCGCAUGCCAUGCCGCCGCAGCGGGCGCGAUGGCGCGAACUCCUGUGGCCGCAGGCACGGAUGCGUUGUUGGGCGACGAUAGCAGCGGCCCGGAGCCGCUGACGCCGGCCGAGUCGAGCGGCUGCAGAAGCGGCGGCGCCAGUGGCGGCGUGUGGGGCGGCUGGCCCCAGCCCUCGGGCUCCUCACGGGCCAGACGCUCAAGCGCCAUGGCCUGCGCUGCCUCCGGCAACCCCGACAUUGGCAGGGGGCCGGCCGGCGGCACGAGGCGCGACAGCUCCACCUCAGCGCCGCCGCCGCCGCCAGCGCCCGGUGGCGCCUGCGGCGCCGCGCCCGAGGAUGCGGGCGCGAGGGCGGCCGCAGCGGUGGCGCUGGGGGCGGACGUGGACGCGGUGUUCUGCCGGCGCAGCGCGGGCUUGGGCCCACUGGCGGGGCCGGCCUCGCUUGUGCGCUGGCUGCCGCCCGCGGCCCCGCCUCCGCUGGUGCCGCGACGCACCCCAGCAACCCCCGCCGCCGCCCCCGGCCCACCGCCGGCGCCACCCGGGCUUGUGAUUGCGCCGCUGCUGCUGUUGCCCUCUCCGCCGCCGUACUGGCUGGACAGUGCCGCCGUCAUGGCGGAGAACAUGGAGCCCGCCAGAGCCAUCAUGCCCAGGCCGCUGCCGCCGCCAGUGCCGCCGCCACCGCCGCCACCCGCAGGGCCCGUACCAAUGCCGGCGCUGGAGGCGCCCGCCGCCAGACCGCUGCCGCCGCCGCCGGCAUUUGCGGCCGCGGCUGCGGUUGUACUGCCCACCCCAGCGCCGAAGCCUGUGGCGGUCGUGGCAUUGCUGGCACGGCCCGCUAGGAAGGCCAUGAGACCACUGCCGCCUCGGCCCAGCUCCGGCCCCCCGCCGCCGCCGGCACCCAGCAGCCCUGCGCCGCUCACCACGACACCGCCCACCAUCAGGGGCAUAUCCACACUGCGCUGCCGGCCCAGGCGCGGCGUGCGCGGCGAAGCCAUGCCGCCGCCGCCGCCGCCGCCACCACCCGCGGCGGAGCCCAUGGCCAUGCUCAGCAUGCCGUCGGCGGUGACGGCGCCGCCGGCGUGCAGGCUGCUGCCGCCGCCGUCGCGUGCGGCUGCUGUUGCUGCGCUGGGCAGUAGCGGCUCCACAUGCAUGUGCUCCAGCAGGGGGCCGCCGCUGGCCUGCAGCAGCCGCUGGAUGGAGCCCGACACCAGCGUCUGCGGGGCAGCGGGCGGGGGAGGCGGGGGAGGCGGGGCACGUGCGGGGAUGGGUUCUGCAGAUUUGAAGGGGAGGAGAAGUGGAGCAGCUGCAGAGCAGCGGCAAGGCGCGUCACAUAGGAAGAGGUUACGGUAUUGCUGUGUGGCAGUGCUCGCUGCCUCUGCAGGUCUGGGUCCCACACGUACACAGCUCGAGGCCCCAACGACCAGCACGCACACACACACACAUACACACACACACACACACACAACCCCCCCCCCCACACACACACACACGCGCGCGCGCGCGCGCCACCAGCACCGCCCGCCCCACCUGCCCCAUCUUGGCCUGCCUCAGCAGCCGCUGCAGGUUCUUCCAGGGCUUGCCGCUGCCGGCGUUGCGGUACAGCUGCACGCCGCGCGUCACGCCCAGGUCCAGCCGCACGUCCGCGAACCACUCCGCGGCGCAGCGCACGCGCGGGCCGCAGUGCACCAGCUGUGUCACGCACACGCCGUCGGGGCCGGGCGGCAGCACGCAGCAGAUCUCCUCGCCCAGCUCGUGCUCCAGCAGCGCGGGCGGCCAGGGCACGCAGCUCUUGAGGUCGUCCUCCAGGCUCAGCAGGCAGGUCACCGCCGGGUACUGCGUAUGGCCGGGUGGGCGGGUGGGCGGGGGUCCGUGUGGGUGGGCGAGUGAGUGAGUGGGGCGCGACGGGCGCGCGAUGGGGAGGGAGGGUUAGGGAGGGUUAGGGAGGUCGGAGGGGGAGCUCGGCGAGGGGGCCGAGGCAGCAAGGCAGGCGCUUUUGGCAUGCGGUAGGGAGCAUUGGCAUCUGCCUCAGCCACCUUGCAGCCACCUGGAACUCAUGUGCAUUCAACCUCCGCCCCCCAUCCGCUGCCCCCUUACUGUAAAUGGUGAAAAGCAUCACUGGGACCGAAACACGUCUCGCCGUUCUAACACACACCGCACGGCUACCCCUCCCCUUUCUGACCCCGGCCCGCCGGCCGCCGCUGCUCACCGCGCUGGUGAAGGCCGCCACCGCGCCGCCGCCGUCCAGCUCCACCAGCGUGCCGCCGUGCUCCGCCACCACCUCCGCCGCCUGCCAGCGGAACGCCUCCAGCGCCUCCUCCGCCACCGCCGCGUUCCAGGCGCGCAGCACCUCCACGCCCACCACCUGAGAGCACACACGGUGUGCAGUGCAGCACACGGUAUUGCAGCGCCGGCGUGUCGCCGGCGUGUCGCAGGUGCAUCCCAGCUUACGAAGCAGCAUUCCGGCAGCAGCGUGCAAGUCACGUGCGCUCCCUUCCGCCCAGAAACUGCGCCCAACGAACACAAGUACGGUACCGGUACACACACGGUGAACCGCCCCCGCCCCCGCCCCCCACCCCCAAGACGGCAACCCACCUGGCAGGUGGCCAGCGCCACCGGCCCCACCGGCGCCUCCAGCAGCCCCGGCAUGAGGGCGGCCAGCACGCGCAGCGGCUCGCCGCGAAAGGCCUGAGCAGUGAGGGGCAGGCAGGAAGGCAGGGCAGGCAGGAAGGCAGGCGGGCAGGCAGGCAGGAAGGCAGGCGGCACGGGGUUGUGUGACGGGAAUCUGCGCCCGAAGCUUCAGGGCUGUGAUGACAGGUUGGCAGUGAAACACCCCUGGCCGCAUUUUCCCCACGUCUUGAUACCACCGGAUCAUCUAUAGGGGCUGUGGGAGCACGUGUGUGUGUGUGUGGGUGCACGUGUGUGUGUGCGCGCCUCUCACCUGCAGCCUGGGCAGCAGUGUGGGCAGCAGCGCCUGGAACACGUCCACGUCCACACAGCCCUCCCGGUCGCCCAGGCGGAACCUGACCGUGGGCGGGCGGGCGGAGGUACAUUCAUUAUUAUAUUUAUCUUAUCAAGAAGUGAAGGUGUAGCCAGGAACAGUGGCGGGGUGGGGGGGUGCAUUCAUAGCUGGUUAAGGUGGUGGCAGAUGGUAGGCAGUCUUGCGUCAGCACAGCAAUCGGUACCGACGAGGGGGAGGGGGGUUGUACAGGGAGGGGGGGAAGGGGCACACAACACCGCUGUACGCCAGGCGGCCUCCAGGCGCCCGCCGCCCACAGGCCAGGCCAGCACAUGGCCGGGGUCAGGCCAGGAGCAUGCCUGGACCCAGACCCUCCUGUUCCUAUUGGACGCCGCCACUUCCUCAACUUGCAUCACCCGCCCUGCACGGCCCCCUGACCCCCACCCCUUCCUCACAGCACCGCCCGCCGCACCUGCCGCUGUGCCACACCAUGGCCCCCAGCGGCAGCCGCUCAUUGGGCAGCGGCCGCAGCAGCUCCAGGCAGGCGGUGCUGAGCACCACCAUGCCGCCCAGCGCCGCGUCCGACAGCAGCCGCGCCUGGCGCAUGGCGGAGCCGGAGUAGGCGCGGCGGCCGGAGCGCUUGGUCCAGAACACGUCGGCGCCCUCGUCCAGCCCCGAGUGGAUGCCCACACGCACACGGAAGCCCCUGCGGUUGCGGUUGCGUUUGUGUAUGUGUGUGUUAAAGAGCACAAGGAAAACAAAGCGCACAGACAGGUCAUGUGUGAGUGUGUGUACAUGUAAUUGGUGGCGUUAUGUUGGUAGGAAGACAAUCAGGCGCCAAGCCAUGCACGCAGGCGGCGAGAAGGAAGGAUGGCCGUGUCGCGGCUUUGCGGGCAGCAGCGGGGGUAGCUCUCCCACCUAUGCAUUAGUCAGCCGCACCUGAAUAGCUGCACCUGACCCGCCAUGUCGGUCUUGGAUGCGCCCGCGCUGCCCACACCCACACCACCCGGGUUCGACAGCCGCCGCCGCGACAGCGACAGCGGGAUAGGCAGCCGUGCCAGCACGCCAGAUGCCAGCACGCCGCAGCCAAUACCAACGCCAACGCCACCACCGCCGCCGCCACCGCCGCCACCAACCGAUUUGGUGCUACUCUGCCGGCCUAUGGGCAGCCAGCGGCGGCUCUUGCCGGCGCGGCUGUUGCUGCUCCGCAGUCGGCUGCCGCUGGGCCGCUGCGACGCCGCCGGCCCGGCAUCCGCUUCCGACGAGAGCGCCAUUAUCACUCCGCCGCCGUCCUCGUCCUCGGGCUGCUCAUCGGUGGUGCCGCCGGCCAGUCCCGCCGCAUGCCGCGGCGUCGCCUCGUCCUCGGGCAGCCGCUCCGGCAGGCACGCGCCGCCGCCGCCGCCGCCUGCGCCCCACAACCGCACCUGCACCGGCGCCGGCGGCCCCACGGCGACGGGCGAGCCCGCGCCGCCCGCGAAGCUGGCGUGCGUGUGGUGCUGGUAGAGGGGGUUGGCUUCGGGGCAGCUGGGGCGCUGGCCGCCGGGGGAGGUCACCGCGCCCUGCUGCUGCGGGUAGGGGUAGGGGUGCUGCGGGUACGGCUCCGCCGCGUGCAGUCGGGAGCCGCCGUGCUCGGAGCGCGAGGCGGGCAGGUGCUGGUGGCCACUGCAGGGGGGGAGGGUUACGUUCAUGAUUAGUUAAAGAAGUGGUGGUGGUGGGGGGUACGUUCAUAAUUGUUUAAGGCCUAGCCAGGAACAGUAGGGGGUGCAGGAUGCGUAGUGGUAGCGGGCGGAAACACGGAGGGUGCCGGCGGCAGCAGCAGCAGCAGCGUGGGGCAAGUCGCAUGGUGCGGAGCACACCGGACUCGGCAACUGCAAAGGCAAGAACGCAAAAGGAGGACACGAGCCGAGCGCCCAUCCAGACACACCCGCAUCCAGUACCACACGCCACUGACACGUUCACGUACCGGACCCGACUGACCCGACCCGACCCACCUCUUGACCCGCGCCGGCAGCGCCAGCGCCUCCACGCCGAACCAGCUAGUCGGCCGCGACAUUCGGCCCCAGCCACCGCCUCCACCGCCGCCGCCACCACCACCGCCGCCGCCUCCACUGCGGCCGCCAUCCAACGGCGAGUGCACGGCCGCGGUCACGGACGGCUCAGGCGUGAGCACGCCGCCCGGGCCGUAGGCGCCCGAGUAGGCGCCCGAAUACGCGCCUGAGUACGGCCCUGCGCCAACACCAAACGCACCGCCACCACCGCCGCCGCCUCCCGCCGCGCCUGCGGCCAGCGAGCCGAGGAUCAUGGACGCGGGCCGCACCGCCUGGGGCGGCCCCGCCGGCUCCUCGCCGCCGCUGCCCACCUGCUGUGGGUGGGUGUGGGACGAGUAGCCCUGCUGCUGCGCCGCCUGCUGCUGCUGCUGCUGCUGCUGGUACUGCUGGUACUGCUGGUACUGCUGGUACUGCUCUUGCUGCUGCUGGUACGGGUGCUGGUGAUGCGACGAGGGCGCCGCCCCCAGCGCGUUGCUGCUGGCGGCGCGCAGGGUCUCAUACAGCAGCGCCGUGGCGAAGGAGCGCGCCACCUUGUGACUGCCGCGCGCCCAGAAGCCGCGCUUGGAGAAGCGGCUGCUGCUGGAAGGCCGCUCGCCGCCCCGGGCACCGCUUGCGGCAUUGGCGGCGGCGGCGGCGGCAGCCGUCAUGCCGCCCACUGCGCCCACGAAGGGGCCGGAGCCCAGCAUCAGCGAGGCGCCGCCGGCGUCUGCCUCGGUGGCGGCGGGCGACUCGCCGCCCUCCUCGCCCUCGGUGAUGCCCGGGAAGUCACCAGCGCCGCUGCUGGCCCCCGGCGGCGCCAGCUGCAGCCGCAACAGGCCCGCGCCGCUGUAGCCGGACAUGCCGCCGCCAGGGCCGGCCGAGCCCGCGCCGCCGCCCCCGCCGCCCACGCCCGCGCCUGCGGCGGCGGCGGCGGCGGCGCCGGUGAGCGCCAUACGCACGUAGCUCAGGGAUCCGGACAGCCGCCGCGACAGGCUGCGGACCGAGUCCUGCAGCGCGCCGCUCGGGCCGCCGCCAGUGCCGCCGCUGGCACCGCCGGGACCGGCGCCGCCGGGUCCGCUGCCGCUGGCGACAGUGGACACAGAGGCCAGGCCUGCGGGCGCGCCAAAGCCCACGGCAGGCACUGGCGCCAUGCCCAUGCCAGGGGGGUCACCCGCGCCGCCGUAGGCGGGCGGCGGCGGCGGCAGGUGGUACCCUGUGCCGCCGGGCGAUAUGUGCGGCUGCAUGCGGCCGGCGGCGUCCUCGGAGGCUAAGGCGGGGGCGGCACCCAUCAGACCAGUGCCGUUGCCAUGGGUGCCAACGGCACUGGCCGUUGAGUAUGGGCUGCGCAGGACGCUGCCCGUGUCGCUUGCGCCUGCACCGCCCGCCCGGCCAGCCACCCUGCCGCUGCUGUCGCCAGACACGGUCCACAGCCCUGCCGCGCCGCCGGCCGCAGCCCCAGAUGCCAACGGCACUGGACCGCUACCGCCGCCCACCGAUGACGACGCGCCGCGGCCAUCAUCGCCGUAGCGCGAGCCGUGCAGCUGUGCAGCGGUGACGGACGCGGACUGAGCUCGCCCCGCCACCGACGGCGGCGACCGAGGCCGCUGCGCACCGCCACGGCUCUGGUUGAUCGCGCUCGCCGUCGCGGCCGCAAGCGACGCCGCCCCAGCGCUGUGUGAUCUGCCAGAGGCGUAGUCGAGUGCAGUGCUGCCUGACGCCCCGCCCUCGGGCGCCGCAUCCAAGCCCGCCUCCCUGCCGCCGCCGCCGCCCUCGCCCUGCGAGCCGCCGUGCAGGGUGGAGGCGACGGAGGCGGAGACGGCGACCAUGAAGGUCAGGCCGCCCGGCCGCGCGUUGCUUAGCGAGGUGCCAGCGCUGCCGCCGGCGCUGCCAUCCAUGCUCGCGUGGGCGUGCGACCGGCGGGUGAACCGCGGGCCCAGCAGGGCGGUCGGCAUCGCCAGGGAGAUGGACUGGUGCGCGGCGGCGGCGGUGGAUGCGGCGGUGGGUGCGGCGCUGCCGGGGCCGGCCUGGCUGCCGGUGGCCGCCUGUGCGCCGCUGAUGGCGGCACGCUGGGAGGCCGGCGGCAGCGCCGCGCCGGCAGGGGCACCGCCGGUGGCUGGGAGGCGGGGCGGAGGACGUGCCGCAAUGCUGCCAACGGUCACCGCGUUGCCAUCGCUGCUGACCUCGCCUUCACCCUCGCCUUCACCCUCGCCGGACCCGCCGAAGCCGCCGCCGAAGCCACCGCCGCCCCCUAUGUGGUCCGCCCCGGCGGCUGUGCGGCCGUCCUGGCUGCCGCAGCCGUGGUUGGCGCUGCUCAGCAGGAACUCCGCCGCCCGGCCGCCGUGCAUGUGCGCGGACUGGUCGCCGGCACGCAGACCCGGCAGCUCGCCGCUCACCACUGCCUCCUCCCCGUCCUCAUCCUCCACCUCCUCCACCUGCACGCCCGUGUCGCCCCUGUGCCCUGGCCGCAGCACCUCCGACCGCAGCGGCGCCGGAGGCCCCGACGCCGGCCCCGCCACCGCCUGCGCCGCCUGGGCCGCCGCCGCCAGCGCCGCCGCCUCCACCGCGGCAAUGUUGAGCACCAUGCUGCCGGCACGGCUGCCCAUGCGACUGCCGCGGCGGCUGCCGGCGCGGCUGCCGCCCAGCCUGUGCCCCGGCACCGGCACCGGCGGCACGUGCUGCGGCGGCGGCGCGCCCUGGUGGUGGUGCCCUGCAGUGUAGCUGCCGGCGCGGCUGCCCAGCGGCGAGGCCUCGUGGCCGUCAAGGGAGCGGCUUUGGCGGCGCCGCAGCUCAUACUCGCCAGCACCCGCCGCCGUCGCGUCCCGCAGCGGCGAGUGCGGAAUCCGGCCGCUCAGGGAGGGCCUGUGGAAGUGGCCGCCGCCGCCGCCGCCGAUGCUGGUGUCCCCGACGCCGCUGUAGCUAGGCCGCCCGCUGCCGCCGCCAGCCCGCCGGCCGCCGCCUGCAGCGCCGCCAUCCUCCACGGCAUGCGGCGAGGCGGCGGCGCCGCCGCCGGCACCGUACAGCCCUGCCGCCGCCAUCCAGCUGCGGGACGGCGAGCGGGCGGCCAGGGCGCCGGCGUCCAUCGCGAAGCGACUCAUGGAGCGGGAGGGGGCGGCGCCGAUCAGGGAGGGGCCGCUGGGGAGCAGCACGUCGAAGCCGCUGCCGCCAGUGAUACUGCCGCCGCUGGCGGACACGGCCCAGUCGCCGGCGUUGGGCGAGGUAAGCCGCGCACUGCCGCCGCCGUGCUGCGGCGGGCUGAUGUGCUGCGGCGGGGACAGCGGGGAGGCGCCCGGCGGAGCCAGGGUGCCGCCGCUGCUGUUGCUUCCCAUGGCCAGCGCGGAGCGGCGGCGGUGCCCGGACUGCAGUGCAGGCGGCGGCGGCAGAGGCUGCAGCGAGCCCUGCCGAGCCAGCGGCGCGCCGGCAACAGGCGUGUACUGCGCAAGCGCCGCGGCGGCCGCGGCCGCGCCGGCUGCGCCGUUGGCGGCGGCUGAGGUGGACGGCGGCGACAGGCCGCCGGAGCCGCUGAGCGGUGAGGGCGCGGGUGGCGGCUGCGACGCCGUCGCCUGCAGCUGGGCGUGCAGGUUGCCGUGUGGUGCCGCCCGGGGCCUCUGACCCAUGAGCGGCAUGGACGGCCGCCGGCCCAGCACCGACAGCUGCUGCUGCUGUUGCUGCUGUUGCAGCAGCUGCUGCUGUUGCUGCUGCUGCUGCAGCUGGGACGGACCGGUCGCGGGGCGCGACGCGGAGGCGGAGCGCGGCGCAAGCGGUGAUCCAGGCGCAGCCGUAACGCCGGCAGACACAGCCGCAGCGGCGGCGGCGGCGGCUUCAGCUGCUGCGGCGCCGACAGGUGCGGGCGGCGACGUGGGGAGAGGCAUGCCACCGCCGCCACCACCACCAGCGCCGCUACCUCUACCGCCGCCGCCUACCGGGUCGGAGGCACGCGGCUGCAGGCUGGGGCGCUUGAAGUCGCCUGCGUAGGGCGCCCGGGCCGCGCCGCCCGGCACCAUCGGUACGCCGCCGGUGCUGGACCGCGCGGCGGCGGCGGCGGCGGCGGCGGCGGCGGAGUAGGAGUGGGAGUAGGAGUAGGAGGAGCGGCUGCGCCGCGCGAACUCCCCGCUACCUGCCACCGCACCCACACCCACCGCACCCAUCAGUACGCCGCUGCGCCGGGAGCUGCGGCUGGCCAGGCGCUCCGGAGACGUGCAGCUGCCGUCACCACUCACCGCGCCGCUGACCAUGCCGCUAGCCAUGCCGCUAGCCAUGCCGCUGCCCGCGCCGCUGCCCGCACCACUGACGGCGCCGCUGCCCGCGCCGCUGCCGCCGCGGCUGCCGCCACGGCUGCCGCCGCGGCUGUCUGCAUGGCUGCCGCCGCGGCUGCGCAGGCCGCUGCCGUCCGCGCUGCCGCCCAUGCGGCUGCCAGCGCGGCUACCGGCUGGAGUCAUGGUAAGCCGCCCAAGCACGCCGCCGCCGACGACGCCCAGCUCGCCGCCGCCCAUGUCGCUAAACACUCUACUGCGGUGCCGCAGCCGCGAAGACAUGGACAUGAGCUGCAGCCCCAGCGCCCCCACCGUGUCCGUGUCAAGGCUGGCGUCGGCACUGGCGCCGCCGCCACCGGCCGCCGCCAGUGCCGCCGCCUCCGCCACCAGCGCGCCCGGGCCGGCGGCGCUGUCGUUUGUGGAGCGGUCCGCGCCCAGGGAGUUGGUGAGGUGGCCCAGCACGGAGCGACUGGCGGCGCGACUGGGAGUGGGCAGGGACGCCAGAGAGGACGACGGCGGCCGAUGCACGCUGUAGCCGCUGUAGUGGUGCAGGCUGCCGCCCAGGCUGCCGCCGCCGCCGCCAGCACCGAUGCCACCCGUGCCGCCGCCCGCCGCGGCCGCCUGCGCAUCGGCCACCGAGCCCAGGAGCGCCAGCCGCUGGCUCUGCGGCGUGCUGCGCGCGCUGUUCGACGGCCCAGCACCACCACCACCACCACCGCCGCCGCCGGUGUUCCCAGCGAUGGAGGCGCCCCCCGCCGCCGCGGCCGUGGCUGCGGCGGCGGCGGCGGCCGCCGCUGCCGCCGCUGCUGCCUUUGUGGUUAGGAAGACGGCUGCCGCGGCGGGGUGUUCCAGCAGCUGCUGCGGCCAGUCCAGCUCCAUGAGCGCCACCUGCAGCUCCAGCGCGAAGCAGGUCGCCUCCACAGCCGAGUGGAAGGCCAGCGUGAAGGAGUCGCCCUCCGUGUGCGUCUGCGGGAAGGGAGGGGGCGGGGUUAAAUUCAUGCUUAAAUCAAGAAUUGAAGGCGUAGGCAGGUACAGUAGCAUACUGAAGGGGGGUGGAGCAGGCGAGCACAGGCAGGCAGGCAGGCAGGUGCGGUGGCCACAUAUCAGGGUCAAGUGGAGCGUCUAUGUUCCGCUCUCGCACAGCUUAAAGGGUACGGGUGGUGCCGUGGUGGUGUGCCGUGGCCCCAGCCCAACGCCGCUGGCCCUGCUGCGCACCUCGUAUCCGUGGUACUUGCGCACGAGCUGGCGGCAGCAGUGGUUGUGCUGGUUGAGGGACAGGUCCAUGACGGCGGCGGGCACAGCCUCCCCUGUGCAGCAGGUGGGCAGGCAGGGGGGAAAGCGGGUGGCCAGGAUUGCGGAGGUCGGUUCGUCGGUUGAGGGGGCUGGUUGGGAGGUUGGAUGGCGUCAACAGCGGCACCCUACAGAAGCAGGCCCGCAUACUCGCGUCUGUAACCGCACUCACAUAGCACCGUGGAGUCUUGGAUGUCCUGCAGUAGCCCGGCAGUCACACGGCAAAGCAAAGCAAUUCCGGACAGUCAGUUGUCUUUGACCAGACCAUGUGCACUCGCGGGGUGGACUCAUGCAGCCCCUUUGAGCCGUGCAUGCCAUCAAAGGCCGCAAGACGCCAGCUCCUCGUUCAAGCACUUCCGUCUCCAACGCUCAUUAUGCAGGGCUCCGCAUGGUAAACAAAACCCCUAAUGCCCCUUUCCUCGCGCCUCGGACUCACCGUGACCACCAGCGUGGUCUGCUGGCCGUACCCAGGCAUCUGGGUCGCGCCGCCGCGCCGCCCGCGCCGCCCCCGCCCGAAGGCCGCGGCCGAGGGGAAGCUGAAGUGCACCACACGCCGCUUGAACAGCGCCGAGGCCACCAGCAGCACCGCCGCAGCGACCACGCCCACCGCAAUGCCUGCAGCAGCCACAGCAUGCAGCAGCGGUGCGGCGCCUCCCGCGUCAAUCACGAACAGGGCCCAAGACGACAUCUACCGGUAUGUCACCGCCGCCCCCACGGCGCCCGCUCACCGUCCGGGCCGGGUGGCGCGCCCCUUCAUUCCCCUGGCGGUCGAGCCAGCUACUGUCGUGCUAGCAGUACUAGCAGAACCAGCAGAUCUUGCAGCUCUUGCAGAUCUAGCAGUACUAGCAGUUCUAGCAGACCUAGCAGUGCUAGCAGAACUAGCAGUACCGCAAACUCACCAAUGCGGUCCUUCACGCCCAGGCCGCGGGGGACGUCACCGGAGGUCCGCACCGCGCCCGGCAGUGGACUGCCGUCCACAGCCCAGCCAUGGCCGGCGCCUGUAGGCGGUUGACAGGUGGCAGAUGACGGUUGUGGCGGUUUGGGUGCGCUGCGGAUUCGCACACAGAGACACGUGGCGGCCCUCCCGUGCCCCCCCCCCAGCAACCCACCCACUUCACCCAGUUCAGUUUCAUACUUGAUUAUGAAGGCAACGCCCGGACCCCGCUACCGUACCACCCGCCCUCCUGCCCGCCCACCCACCCACCCACCCGCCGCUCCGCUGAGUGCGCCAAUGCUAGUGAGGUAGCUCUUCUGGAUGAGGAAGAAGCCGCCGGCGCCGAAGGCGGCGGUCAGGUUGGCCAGCAGCGACUGCGCCGGGGGGGGGGGGGUUCAUUCAUAUUACCGUAUUUGAGAAGUGAAGGCGUAGCCAGGGGGUCGGGCAUCUAACCCCCCCUCUCCCAUCCUCCCUCCCCUCCAUCAGCAUUCGCCCAUUCACACGCACCUGGGCCACCUCCGCCGGAGCGGGGCCGUCCUGCGCCGCCGCCGCCGCCGCCGCGCUGCCCAUCAGCGCUGUCACUCGCUCGCCACCCAGGAACCCCGCCGGCGGCACCGCGUUGGGGUGCGCCGCCACCUGCCGCAGCGCCUCCAGGUAUGCCGCCGCGUCGUCCGGGUGCCAGCCGGCCGCGGCCCACGCCGCCAGCGCGCCCUCGCCCAGCUGUGACGCCCGCACCGGCGUGGCGAACACGGUGGGGUCAGUGAGGCGGGCCCAGGAGGCCGCGGGCGACAGCGCCGCCGCAAUGGCGCGCCAGGCCGCCAGCUGUGACGCGGCGCCGCCGGCCGGCUCGGCACUGAGCGACAUGAAGAAGGGCCCGCGGCCGGGGUGCGGCGCACGGUUCACCAGCACCUCACCGCCGCUGCUGCUGGCUGUGCUGCUGCUGCCAGAGCUGCUACUGUUACUGCUACUGCCGUUGCCAGCCGCCGCCACCUGCUGCGCUGCCGCCUGCAGCCCGGCCGCCCACCAGCUGCUGCUGUCCGGGUCACCACUGGUGUCGGCACCGGCUGCCGCCGCCCCUGCAGCGGCGGCUGUGGGUGCUGCCGCACUGUUCAGGUUGGAGCGGCGCGCGGCCGCAGCCGCCACCGGCAGCAAUCCGGGGUCUGGGUGCGGCUGCGCAAAGGGGCAGCGCUGGCUGCUGCACAGCCGCAGCACCAGCUGGGCCCCGUCGUCCGAGGCCGCCUCCACCAACAGGCUCCCCGGCAGCGGCGCCACAGCCGUCAUACCCCAGCCCGCGAACCCCGCGCCACCACCACCACCACCACCGCCGCUACCUGUGGCGCCGAACAGGCUGCCAGUAGCGACGCCCGCACUUGCGCCCCCUGACGCCGCCCCCAGGGGCGUGCCCGCGUCAUGCCCAAGCACCACCCGCACCUGCUCCUGCUGCACCCCCGGCAGGGCGCGGCCCAAGGACUGCGUGCCGGCCGCUACCUCUGGCGAGGAAGGCGGCUGUGCCCGUGGCGGCGGCGCGGGUGACGGUGGCGGCGGCGCGGCCGUCCGCGUCAUGGAGGGCGGCAGGCCCAGCAACCGCGCGACGCUGCUGCCCGCAAUACCCAUGGCACAGCUCACCCGCGCCUCAGCCCAGUCGUGCCGCCGGCUGCACCCGCCCGCCGCGUACGCGCCGCCCGCCCCCGAGGCACCCGAGGCCGCCUCCGCCACCGCCGGCAGCCCCAGCGCCGCCAGCCUGCGGUAGAUGGCCACCGCCGCCGCCAUGGCCGGCCCGCCCAGCCGCGGCACCAUGCCAGGCGCGGUGAAGUACAGCCCCGCCGCCGGCCCCGAGGUGGCGGCCAUGGACGCCCACACCGCCCCCAGCACCACGCCGUCGUUGGCACAGCCGGGCGGCAGCAGCAGGCAAAAGCCGCGGCCGUAGCAGCCCGGCUCCCGCGCCCCGCUACUGCCGCUGCUGCUGUUUGCGCCGCCGCUGCUGUUGGCGCCGCCGCCGCUGCGGGCGCUGCAGGCCCGCUGGUGUGUGUCCAGCGCCUCCGCCGCCAGCAACAGCUCCUCCCAGGUGGCCGGCGGCGCCGAGGUCGCCGCCGCCGCCGCCAACCCCGCCGCCACCAUGGCGUCGCGGCGGUAGAACAGCAGCGGCGGGUCCCAGUCGUACGGCAGCCCCAGCACCCUGUUGCCGUACAGCCCCGUGCCCCGCAGCCCCUGCAGCACGUCCGACCAGCGCAGGUGGGGGUCGGAGGCGGCGGCCAGCCCUACAUCAGCAGCGGCGCCCGUCGCGCCCAGCCACUCGAGCUGCGGCGGGCUGACCGCCCAGGCGGCGGCGGAGGGGAUGGCCACGCCGCCGGUGCGGCUCAGCUGCUGCUCCCAUGCGCCCAGGUCGGUGGUUUGCGGCGCUGCGCGGCGGGGGGCACGGGAUGAGGGGUUAGGUUAGAAUGGAGGAAGGCGGGGCCGGCAGCAAGCAUGCCCUGCCUGUCGAGCCACGGGCAGCUUUUAGUUUUGCUACGAUCCCUCGCCCGCCUGUACGGUAUCAUAAAAGGCGAAUGUUCUUAAACAGUGCGAAACCCGGAGCGCACAGGGGCACUCACCUGGAGCGGGGCCAGCGGGCGAGGCAGCGUCCAGGUAGGAAACCACGUCCGCGGCAACGGGGGCGCAUGCCCAGCUGCCCCCUUCCCGCGCCGGCGAACCGAUGCAGUUCGACAGGAACGCCACGUGUAGCGAGCUCUGUUCAGAGACAAGAGGAAAGGUGACGAGCGCCCGGAAAUAAGUGAGAGCAAAAUCCGCCCAGCGUCUCUGUGCUCGUGGGCAGCUCCAACUUGCAAGCGAGUGAGUCCAACUAAGCCAGUAGAGAUGGAGUUGGAAAGAGAACGCCCCACACAGAGGACGGCCCCCUCCACGUGCGACAAUUCCGCGAGGUUGUUUACCUGGUUCAAGAGUCCCUGCUGCUGCAAGAUGCAGGUUGUAGCCGCGUCCACACCAGGAAACUGGCCAUCCGCCAGGGCCCUGUCCGCAAGGUUCCCAGUCAAUGCUUGAGCCACGAUGGACCUUCGCCGGCCGGGUUGACAAACUUACCCGCCGCAAACAUGCUCCUGUGCCGCCAAGACUUUACAGGUGCCGUUGCUGAGCUGCAGGUCCGCGCUGGCGCGGACUGCAAGCAGAGCAUGCAGUACCGCGGCGACGCAUAGCUGCCACGUUCUUUGUCUCAUUAGUACAUGGCUUUGAGACCCCGGUCCGUCGGGCCUAGGCCCAAGCUGGCCAAGGCCAGGGCAGCUCGCAUUCGUCGUGCCAGUUCUUCUCUUCGGUCAGGCAGGGUUUCGAGUCAUAGUCAAUUUGAUAUGAACUUGCUACACAGUUUGCUCUGUGUGUAGUACCGUUGCAACACUAGCGUGGAUGACAAGGAGUGGCACGAUGCGGGCUGUGCCGAUCCGCCGGGCCCCGCCUGGGGGCGCCAGGCCAGUUAGGACACGUUAGGACGGCCAGGCAACUGCAACCAUGUGCGCUCCGUGCAAGUGCUCUGUUAGGUACAAGUGUAGGAAGCCCCACACUCCUGCUGGGCCCGGAAGGCGCAGGUGCAGAACAUGCAGGAUGUGUGUGUGUUCCAGCCAGGGGUGGUUCCAGCCCAGCAAGUCCAGACUCUGAGCUCUCGGAACUCCAGACUUGCCCCAUACAAGCUGUGGGGCAAACUUUGGCAUACCUGACGCGCGUUGGUGCUCAGGCUGCACCAGCUCAACUACCGAUGUAUCAUGUAGUGUACAUGGUUGCAGCACUUCGCAGCCGCGGAGCCAUCGCAGCAGGAUAUGUGCUGAUGCCCACAGGCUCCCCUUCUCCCCCCCUUCCCUCCCUCCUUCAUCCGUCCUCAGGGAACAGCCUGGCGCGCUGGGGCCGGGACUUGCAGCGGACCGGUGGCGCGGGUUGGACCCACACGCGCUGACAACCAGGGGCAAGAACGUGUCCACACGUGCUUCUUUGCGCACGUGCAGGUCUAGCCGUCCGUGCUCAAGCUUUAACUUAUGUGACAUAUAAGGAUGCUAUAUUCUGGCUCCCGCCGCGUUUUGCAGGAUGGCUGUCACGCGGGGCAAGCGUUCGCCAGAUAGAGUCGCGCUCGUAAGCCCGGGAGCUUUUAAUUUGUCUCUUAAUGCCUAGAGUAUAUCACGGCAAUCGAAAUUGAAAUCAAAUCUCGCUGUUUGCGCAGGAACAUGUGUUGCAUGUUGACCGCGCGGCAUCAUCAAUCAGGCCGCAAACUGAGUACUUGUGGUGUAUAUGGUACAAAGUAACACUCAGAGAACGCCGAAGUCGACCCGACGACCGUGCAAAGCAGGCUGGAACGCACCCUCCGGACAGCCGUCUAGCAUCCUUGCUGUCUGCACCCCUUGCCUCCUUGUCUGCGUAUGCUUGCGUCCCUUGCCGCCCCUGCGGAGGAUUCGUUUGCGUUGGCUGCUUGUGGCUUCCUGGUGUCGCACGGCAUGCACCGCACGCGCCCAUGCCGACCGCAGUGCGACCGGGAUGAGCCAUGCAGCGAUCGCGCUGUCGUUACUUCCUCGGCCGCCCGGCGCCCUUGCUCAUUUAUUAACCGCAUCCAUCCCGUCCCCGUACUUAGUGUUCUUCGUUUAGUCACCCCGCGCAGCGCGCAGCCAUAACAGCCACAGCCUGCAGCCCGGCUUGCGCACCAUGUCCUCGCGGUUGCUUUGGGGUUGACGUUGCUUGCCUCGCGCCUAGCGCCAUAGCUUCUACGCUGCAGUGCAUCACGCCUCCUGUCCCUCCCUCCUCCCUCCCUUACAUGUCGUGCUGGGCACCGGUGGCGCUGGUGUUCUCCAGGUUGGUUUCGGGCGCAUCCUUUCUGGUAGUCCCAACGCCAGCCCGGCCGGCGUCGUCCAGCCCAGCCAUCCCAAUACAGCAGCCACCUUCCGUCAGCCAGCCAUGGGCGCGACCGUCCACAGCGUUUACCGUCGGUUACGAGGUAACAUGUGAAUUCGCAACUUGCGCUACUGACUGCCUACUCUCAUGCCGCCUGCAAGCCCACUCCGCCUUCCGCUCUGGUCUACGUACGCAUUAGUUCCGCAACACUCGUCAAUAACAGGUGUGUGAUUGGACAGUGUUAAGGCAGGUUGGUGAAGUCCCGCAGGGUGACAGCUAAUUCCCAGACCCCAGAAGAUGGCAAACAAUUUGCAACGGCUGGUCGAACGCCAGAGUCUAGCAUCUAGGUGCAAUUUAAUACACUGAACCCGCGUUCGUAUUGAGGAGCACGAACCCGCCCCUGGCAUCCUCUCGUGGUUCCCACAAGUCCACGGCCUCUACAUCUUCAUCACCUGGCCUCGGAGUAGAAUGGGGGGCUCAGCGAGUGCGGCGAGUCGGGUGACUGUGGGUGUCGCAUCCUAAACGGCUCAGGAUCGCCCUCUCCGCUGGCUGGCCGCAGCUCACGCCGUUUUUCCACGGCCGCCACGACCUUCUCUUCUAUGGUGGACAUGGUGUUGCCGGCCAUACAUCACGCACGCAGACAGCCAAGACCAACGUCAACACAACCCUGGUCACCCGCACCUUCAGGUACCCGGCCCUAUGGCCUGUGCGGCCCGUCACGUACACGGGCAGCUGCCCCAGCUCCGACGCCGGUGACUGGCUGGCCAGCUUCGAGAAGCGCGUGGCGGCGGCGGCAGUGCUGGCGGCGGCGGCGCUGGUGGCGGCGGCAGGGGCGCGCAGCUCAGCGGUGCCGGCGCACUGCACAAAGUGUGGCACGCAGGAGCGCGGCACCCAAUGGCAGCACGGCAGAGACGACGGCGUGCGGCUGUGCAGCAUGUGCAGAUCGCGCACAGCAGCGCAUUGCCAGCAGCGCAUCGCCCUCGGCUACCGCGCGCCGCCAUGCGGUGGCUGCAAAGGGGGCAAGCGCGCGCGCAGCGCAGGAGCAGCAGCUGUACAUGUGUUUUGGGGUGCCAUAUAUAUAUAUACUGCCACAAACACCGUAUUUUAACAGUUUCUAUCUUGUCGGUCCUUUCGCGCCUUCGCGCCCUUCGCGUCUCCUCUGAACUCUGCUCCACAAUAAUCUGCGCCACAAAAAUGUGCAAAACGUCGAGGUCGGCGCUGCAACCAUCUUGCCUGACCGGCGAGCGCUCGGAGAGCUCGGGGACGACCUAGAGCUCGCGGCAGGUGAGCCCUUGGCAGGUCCACCGCUAAGCUAUAUGGGCUCUUGGGGGGCCUGUGACUCGAAUGGGCCCGCGCAGACGGCCGAACGCAGCGCGAACUGCAAAUUGCGACGUUUGAUCCGCUGAUCCUGAUUCCUUCCUGCCUGCCUGCCUGCCUGCCCCAGGUGAUAGUACAAGAAAAUAGAAGUUAGGGUUAAUAUAAUGAAGUUCACCGCGGCGCUCUUCGUGGCGCUCGUGAUGGCCGUGGCGUCGGCCACCAAGCCUCCGCUCCGGUCGCCUCGGUCGGAGGCGGGCCCCCCCCAGCAGCGUCGGCGCUCAGCCGGACAGGCCGCGCUGCCGCAGGUCGGCGGCCCGCCCAGCCCAGCCCCAGCGGCGGCCCUGCCACAGCAGCCCCAGCUGCCACAGCUGCCCCAGCAGCCCCAGCUGCCACAGCUGCCCCAGCAGCCCCAGCAGCCCCAGCUGCCCCAGCGUGGUUCCUUGACAUGGACGUGGCACUGGGGCUGGAGCUGGUGGCGGAGGAGGAUGAGGAGCCGGCUCACUGGAGCCAGCCUGUGGGUGGCGACGGUGCACUGCACGGUGUCGUACAGGCCGCUGCUGCAGCUCAUGACGCUGCCGCUGCCGCCCAUGCGGUGGCUGUCCUGGAAGCUGAUGAGGCCGCUGCGGCCGCCGAGGCCGCUGCUGCAGGCCCGGGCCCAUCUUCGGGCAAUUCGGCCGCUGCUGCUGCUGCCGCUGUCGCUGCCGCUGCCGCUGACGCUGCCGCUGCCGCCCAGGUUCAGCAGGCUGAGCAGGCGCUGGCGGAGGCACAAGAGGCGCUGGCGAUUUGGGUUGAUCCUGCUGCACAUGGCCACCCGGGCUUGGAGCAGGACGCAGCCCAGCACGCAGCCCAGCCCGCCGCCACCGGCGCACCUGCCGCCGCCACCGCUACCACUACCGCGACCAUCCGUAUGCACAGGAGAGCAAGGCAGACACACAGAAGCGAGUUAGUGGGGAGUGUAUUCGCAUGCGUAUUGCAUGCGCAACUAUGGUACGGCAGGACAGCGACGGCAUGCGCACAUAUCAUUGAUAUUCUCCACAACGCCAGUAGUCCGGAGUGUGAUGCGCGCCCUUGAGGAACCUGCUGCCGUGUCGACGGUCCGCGACAUGUAGCAGCGGAGGCCAUAAGGCAGGAGAGGCAGCAUCCACGAUACCAACGGUAACCAACUUGUAGGCCAUGCCAAUAAACCGUAACCACUUGCCCCCACUCGCGCACCCGGUUGGGGGUAGCCAGCGCCGCCACCGCGGCGAUCGCCACCGCCGCGAUCGCCGCCCUGGAAGCCCAUGCCGCCCACACCGCCGCGGCUGAGGCUGCCGCCGCGGCCGAGCAGGGAGCUGGGGCCUGCGGGCCAUGCGUGAGCGCGGGGAGGGGGUGGUUUCAAUGGCACAGGGGAUGGAGGCAGCGGGCAAGAUGGCGGCGCGGCGCACGGUAGAGAAGGCACAACCACCCGCCCCCACUCACGCACCUGGGUGGGGGUGGCCAGCGCCGCCGCUGCCAGCACCGCCGCGGCGAUCGCCACCGCCGCGGUCGCCGCCCUGGAAGCCCAUGCCGCCCACACCGCCACGGCUGAGGCUGCCGCUGCGGCCGAGCAGGGAGCUGGGGCCUGCGGGCCAUGCGUGAGCGCGGGGAGGGGGUGGUUUCAAUGGCACAGGGGAUGGCGGCAGCGGGCAAGAUGGCGGCGCGGCGCGCGGGAGAGAAGGCACAACCACCCGCCCCCACUCACGCACCUGGGUGGGGGUGGCCAGCGCCGCCGCUGCCAGCGCCGCCGCGGCGAUCGCCACCGCCGCGGUCGCCGCCCUGGAAGCCCAUGCCGCCCACACCGCCGCGGCUGAGGCUGCCGCCGCGGCCGAGCAGGGAGCUGGGGCCUGCAGGGCGUGCGUGAGAGGGGGGAGGGGGAGGUUUAAAUGGCACAGGGGAUGGAGGCAGCGGCCAAGUCAGCGGCGUGGCGCGCGGGAGAGAAGGCACAAUCAGGCUGCAGCAGCAGCAGUCAAGGUGUUCGACAACUGGUUGGAGAAAGAUCCUUAAGCAGGCAGGCGCACAGAUCAGCGUGGCUAUCUGUACACAGCAACACUGUUAUCCAUAUCACCUGAUUCAUCGUGGGCUCGGUUGUCGUUCUGCAAGAUGACAUCGACGGCUGCCUACGCGUCCGAAGUAGCACCGCGUCACAACAUUGCGUGACAGGGGAACUAGUACAGACCAAGCAAACUGCAUACGAUAUGCACAAUUACCUGCACAUCUCCGUCCCUGGUCAUCACCACAGCGUCCGCACUUUGGUGAGCAUUGAAGCCCUGCACCAUCCACCAGCCAGUGGCCGUCAAUACAACCAGACAGGCUGCUACCGAUGAACACACUGGACGACAAACAUACCAUGUCAAUCAGCUGGAGCAGCCGCUCAUCGCUGAAGUCACCACCACCGCGGCCACUGGAGCCGAGCAGGGAGCUGGGGCCUGCAGGGCGUGCGUGUGCGGGGGGAGGGGGGUGGUUUCAAUGGCACAGGGGAUGGAGGCAGCGGGCAAGAUGGCGGCGCGGCGCGCGGGCGAGAAGGCACAGCCACCCGCCCCCACUCGCGCACCUGGGUGGGGGUGGCCAGCGCCGCCGCUGCCAGCACCGCCGCAGCGAUCGCCACCGCCGCGGUCGCCGCCCUGGAAGCCCAUGCCGCCCACACCGCCGCGGCUGAGGCUGCCGCCGCGGCCGAGCAGUGAGCUGGGGCCUGCGGGGCGUGCGUGAGCGGGGGGAGGGGGGUGGUUUCAAUGGCACAGGGGAUGGAGGCAGCGGGCAAGAUGGCGGCGCGGCGCGCGGGAGAGAAGGCACAGCCACCCGCCCCCACUCGCGCACCUGGGUGGGGGUGGCCAGCGCCGCCGCUGCCAGCACCGCCGCCACCAGCGCCACCGCCGCGGUCGCCGCCCUGGAAGCCCAUGCCGCCCACACCGCCGCGGCUGAGGCUGCCGCCGCGGCCGAGCAGGGAGCUGGGGCCUGCGAGCCAUGCGUGAGCGGGGGGAGGGGGGUGGUUUCAAUGGCACAGGGGAUGGAGGCAGCGGCCAAGUCAGCGGCGCGGCGCGCGGGAGAGAAGGCACAACCACCCGCCCCCACUCGCGCACCUGGGUGGGGGUGGCCAGCGCCGCCGCUGCCAGCACCGCCGCCACCAGCGCCACCGCCGCGGUCGCCGCCCUGGAAGCCCAUGCCGCCCACACCGCCGCGGCUGAGGCUGCCGCCGCGGCCGAGCAGGGAGCUGGGGCCUGCGGGGCGUGCGUGAGCGGGGGGAGGGGGGUGGUUCCAAUGGCACAGGGGAUGGAGGCAGCGGCCAAGUCAGCGGCGCGGCGCGCGGGAGAGAAGGCACAACCACCCGCCCCCACUCACGCACCUGGGUGGGGGUGGCCAGCGCCGCCGCUGCCAGCGCCGCCGCGGCGAUCGCCACCGCCGCGGUCGCCGCCCUGGAAGCCCAUGCCGCCCACACCGCCGCGGCUGAGGCUGCCGCCGCGGCCGAGCAGGGAGCUGGGGCCUGCGGGGCGUGCGUGAGCGGGGGGAGGGGGGGUGGUUCCAAUGGCACAGGGGAUGGAGGCAGCGGGCAAGUCAGCGGCGCGGCGCGCGGGAGAGAAGGCACAGCCACCCGCCCCCACUCGCGCACCCGGUUGGGGGUGGCCAGCGCCGCCGCCGCCAGCGCCGCCGCGGCGAUCGCCGUGGCCAGCUGCAGCUUGCGCAACUGACAAUGCCCUACGGCCGAGAGCAACAUUCUGCGACUGGCCUGCGACACAGGAAAUACGUCACGCGCUGCCGCGGGGCCGAAUGCACCUGAAGCGCACCUGCUGCAGCUCGCGGAUUUCCAACCACAGGGGUGCCUGUGUGGUUUGUGCGCGCAGGUUUACAAUGGCGCCCGGGCUCACUGUUCUCACUGUGCUCACCUGUGACCCGCGGGGCGCCGUCCCAAGCUGCAGCCGCCCCGAUACUACGCAAGACCACGAGACCCGUCAUGAAAUCGAAUGCCACAAACACUUGCCAUGCUGCGCGCACCAGCGGAGGAAGGCGGCGGCGAGUCUAGCGUCACAUACUCGGUGUCUUCACCGUCUCUACAUCUGCAUCACUAUCGCUCUGCAUGCUUCACCCUACUCGCAAAUGUGUAGUUUCGCAAAGGGGAAGAAGGGAACAAGGGCCGUCGCUUGUUUUGAGGCCCGGUCCGUGCCCAUGGGCCGGCAGCCUACGCCGGCAGCCCUGCCUGCUGCGCCCGCACCCUGCGCCCCACCCCUAACCCCACCCCAGCCCCCGCUGCUGCUGCUGCUGCGCCCUCACCGCUGCUGGCUGGCCGAACCUUCGAGCCAUGCUGGGGAAGGGGGUGGGGGAGAAUAGCGCCAUGCUAGAGCGCCAGUGCUGGUUCACCCCGCACCCCCCAGCCCCCCCACCGCACACGCCCCCCCCCCCCCCCCCGCCCGUGCACCUGCACCGGCGCGCCCCAAGCGCGGAACCGCCCAGCUGCCAGCACGUUGUCACCGCGCACCAUCGGAAGCAGCAGCAGCAGCAGCAGCAGCAGCAGCAGCAUCAGCAUGAGAGCGCGGGCGCGGGGGCGCUAGGGCAGCGCGCAGGGCAUGCGCAUCGCCGGCUGUCAGCGGGACCCACCGGAGCUGCGGAGCCGGGCCGGCUGGGUGAGUAUGUAAGGUUAUAGUUUGCAAGGUAGAAAUGCUCGGCGGGCGCUAGCAGUGCGCGCCAGGGCCCGCGCCAUGGCUCGCGGAGCAAGCAUAGAGCUGGGCCAUGGCCCAGGACCAGCUUUUAGUCCGCCUCUGACACAUAAUCGCACUCUAGCACAAAUAUAUAAGUACAUAGCUAUUCGCCCGUGCAUUCGCCGCACUCCCGCAUCCGCACUGCCCCCCCCCCACCAGCAACACCAACACACGUUGCAUACCCAGUCGUGCCACGUCACCCUGCAUUGCGUUUAUCCGGUGAUUCCUACCCACCUGGCCACUCCUCCGUCCUCGUCUCGACGACCCGCAUCCAUAUCAUCCCACAAUCUCUGCCUGCCCAUGUCAGCCUGCCCUACCGCAGCACUUCCGCAUCUGCAUUGUGCCCCUCCCACCCCCACCCCCAAGCCUUAUUGCCAAGGCUCGUGCCAGCGUGCCUGAGCGUGCUGCUUUCCUGCCACGCAGAAAUCAUGCAUGUGUAUGAUGGACACACCAGUACACCACAUCUCGUGCACUUGCUGGUCCUGGUGCAGCGAUUGAUCAAGUCGCUCCUGCAGCUCUGCACUCAGCACCGCCCCGUAACGGCCGCUACUACCACUGCCGCCGCCAGCACUGCCACCCCAGCUCUGGCCGCCGCCGUCCCCAACACCAUUGCAGCCUCCGGCGCCGCCGCCAGUGCUGCUGCUGCAGCCCUCGGCGCCGCCGCCAGCCCCAGCACCGAUGCUCCCCUCAGCGCCACUGCUACUGCUGCCACCGCUCUUGCCGGCGCCACCAACCCCGGAUGGAACUGCUGCCGCUGCCAGGGCGCCCUCCAUCCCGGGCGGCCCGACCUGGCCCACACUUCCAACAGCACCUGCGCGCAUGCGGCCGGCACCAGAGUACACGAGCAGCAAGCAAUAAAAAGGGGAGGUUUUAUGCCCAAGCCCAACGAAAUGGGUCCCAACUGUGAGGGAGGGAGACAAAUGUGAUGGGUGGAAGCAGACCCAUGUGAGGACACAGGGACACUGGACACUGCCUCAACAUGUCAGGAUCAUGAUCAGGAGCAGGGGAGAACCGGUAUACCGUACGGUACUCGCAUACGGGCGUGAACGCUCUCACGUAUGCCAUCCCAUCCAUCUUACCUCAAUCUACGGGACAUCGCACACGCCAUCCCAUCCAUCUUGCCUCGGACGCGCACUGGCGCAGGUGAUGAUCAGGGAUCGCCGGUUCGCCGGGCGGCAUAGGCACCAAGGCCACAUCCUUCUCCAUGCCUGGUCGCAACAGCACCAGCUGCUGGGCUUGCAUCUGCGGGCAGCGGCAGUAAUUUGCCCCCAAUGUAGGCCCUCAGGCGAGAAAGAUUGGGCAUUUCCUGGGGUGCAUUCUUGCCGCGUGCCGUGGGGUUGCAUACGGCCCCCGAAUCUCGCCAACUACCCCUUUCGUAGCUCCCCUCUAACGCUAAAAACUGGGCAUUUUUGGCCCCCCGAGAACGUGGUUAGGGCCCUUCUCGCCAGCGAUGGCGGCUUAACCCUGGAAGAUGCAAGCCCUGCGCCAGCAGCGCCGCAGCGCCGGUGCGAGACUUGCAAUCAACCAUCGCCGUACGCGCAAGCGGCACCAUCACCACCUCAGGGCCAUUCAAGAGACGUUCAGUGCGUUGGUCCAAUCUGUCAAAGCAAUCGUGAAGUGCUAUACCCCAAGGAUCAUUACGCGGGCUUGGCUUUGGCGGCAGCACGUCGCGCAGGAUCACAAGAGCCGGGCCCACGCCGCCCCCGUGCGCGCCCGAGCUUCCGUUGCUACUGCCGCCAGCAGCGGCUGUCAUCAUCAACAUCGCUGUCGCCACUGCCAUAGGAGUCAUUACCGCCGCUACCGUCGCCGGUAAGGGCCGGACCGCCGGUGCUGCAGCCGUCAUCGCUCUGCCCCACCUGCUUCCCCCAUGUGCGCCAGGGCAGCCUUCAGGCUGCCGGCAUCGCCAGAGGACUCCGCCAGGCUCAGUAGGAAACGCAUAGCCUUUCCUACAUGUCGAAGGCCGGAAAAGGGUAAGAGCUUUGCCGGGAUUGUGUUUGCAUCAAGCUGCACACGCACUCAGUGCCGUGCACACCUCCCUACAUGUGCAUAUGUUUCAUUUGAUCUCUAACCUACUUAAUUAAGGUCAGCUGGCAUUCAAAUGUACCAAGUGUUUGCGCUUCAACCUCAAAUUCCGACCUCUUGAACGCUUCAAUUGGCAGCAUCCAGAAUGUCAUGUUAACAACAUAAUAUAUUGAACCUACAAUUGUAUACAUCAGGCCGAAAUGGAGGGAGGCGCGGCAGGCAGCAGCUCCGCGCCCGCGGACAGCGGUCGAUUGCACGUUUGGCUGCAUUCCAAGCUCUCGGGCGAUUGGAGCGCGCAGACAGCUGCUAGCGGACUUAACGAGGAGCGGCUCAAUGCGCUGGUUCGCACCUUCGGCGGCCUGGACAGCAUGGUCAAGGUGCGACGUGCCGCUGGAACUGCGCAGGACCCAGGGGGACAGGAGGGAGCAGGAGGAGAAAGGGGAGGGCAGGGUUGCUGGUCACUAGGGGCAGGGAGGUGGAGGAGACGGGGCGAAGCGCAGUAGGGUUGCAGCGCAGUGGCGCCGAGGGGCAGUGUGGCAGUGGGGCGGCGUGGGGCCCGACGGGGAGUGGGAGGGGCCAUGGGGCACCAUGUGGCUUUACGGUACCACAGCCCAGGCUGCUGCUGCUGGGUCUGCGGCAGCGUGCCCCCACCACCUCCCACCUCCCCACCUCCCCCUUGGGCUCGGUAUAGUUUGGGCUGGUAUCUACACCCCCUCCUCCACCUCCCCACCCGGCCUGCAGGUGCGGCUGCUGCUUGCGGGCCUGUUCGUGCCUCGUGCCGACCGCCCCCGCCUGGUGCCGCUGCUGGCGGAGCUGAGCAGCGGCGCGGCGGGCAGCCAGGACGAGUGGGUGCGCGCCACUGCCGCCGCGGUGGGCGACUGGGCGGGGCCGUUGGACACGGCGGCGCUGGCGGCGCAGUUCCCGCUGGUGGGUAAAGGGGGGGAGGGAGGAUGGGGUUGUAGAUAGGGGAGGGGGAGAGGGGGUUGGGAAGGAGUGGAGUGGAGGGGGGAUUAUGUGCCCGGGCCCAAUGAGCGGGGAGGGGAGGGCGAGGAGGGAGGAAAGAAAGGUCCCACAGUCAAGGAAGUGGGGACGGGAAGGGGGGGGGGAGCGACACGGGGAGGACAAGAAAAUUGAACGUGCACAGUGCUGACAGACGUGGCGGUGUUUGGUGAAUGGAGGGACAUGCUUGGUAACGUGGCGGGCGGGGAACGCCCCAGCCCGAGCCCAGCGAAUGGGGGAGAGGGGAGGAGGGCGCACUGCAUUGCCGCUAGGUGGUGGGGAGGGUGUUGGUGAGGUGAUGCCCGGGCCGUGAGCCAGGGCCAUGAGACGGGGUCAGGGUCGGGGUCGGGGUCGGAGCGCAUGAGUCACAGAGCCUGCAGGCACUGACCUCCCCUCCUGACCUCUCCGGCCUCCUGACCUCUCUGGGCCUCCUGCGCCGCCCCGCCUCUGCCCCCGCUGCCCUCACCCCUUGUGGCUGCCUGCCUGUGGCCGCAGGUGCGGGACACAGUGGCUGGGCUGCAGUCGGAGCUGCAGAGUCUGGGGCCGCACACGCCCGCGGCGCUACUGCCGCAGACGGUACGUCGGGGCCCGUGCGUGUGUGCGUGUGAGACCCAGAGCACACACCAUGCACGUCAGUGUGUCAGCGUAGAUAGGGGGGCGGGCAAACACACACGGUGCCUGCACUGAGGGUUCCUUUUCUUUCCUCUUCCUGCUCCUUUCCCCUUCCCCCGCCGCCUCAAUACCCCGCUGCUGCUGCUGCUACUGCCCCUGCAGGAGCAGUACAUGCACCGCGACAUCGGCCGCCUGCCCCCAGCCGCCAGCGCCGGUGGCAGUAGCGGCGGCAGUAGCGCCAAGGCUGCCGCCGCCGCCGCCACUGCAGCCGUCGCCACUGCGGCGACGCCGCCUUUUCGGCUUCGCGAGCAGCCCUUGGUCUCCCUGACGGAUCUGGGGCUGGGGCUGGUCACGUGGGCGCCGCCGGGCGGGCCCGGCGGUGGCGGCGCUGCUGGCGGCGGCGCGGGCGACGGCGCCGCCGCAGCUGCUGGCGUGCUGGCUUUUGCAGACUCGGUUGGCGGCGGCGGCAGUGACCCGCUGGGUCGGCGCGGUGGUGUGGGCGGUGGUGGUGGCGGUGGUGCGGGCGAGGCGGCCUCCAUGCUACGUAGCCGUGCUGACGUCAGCCACAUCGGCGGCAUUGGCGCCGGGGGCGGCAGCGGCCGGGGGGAGGGCAAGCUGCUGCAGACGGUGAGGGGUCGGGGGCAGGUGGGCAGGCGGGCAACAUGGGCAGGUGGGCAGGUGGGGUGGGCAGUCUGCCUGCAUGGUUGUCUUGAUGCCUUCCGUGUGUGUGUGUGUGUGUGUGUAUGUGUGUGUGUGUGUGUGUGUGUGUGUGUGUGUGUGUGUGUGUGUGUGUGCGUGUGUGUGUGUGUGUGUGUGUGUGUUAAAGAGCACAAGGAAAACGUUGCGCAAAGACAGUGUGUGUGUGUGUGUGUGCGCGCGUGUGCGUGUGCGUGUGUGUAUCAGCUUACCUACGCGGAAGACAUCAGGACGCGGCAGCUCUCUGGGCCAUCUCGGUCGCCGUCCUGCCCCGACGCCCCGCCUCCCGUUCCCCACUGCCGCGCUGCCCCAGGUCCCCAGCACGCCCUCCGGCGGCGCCGCCAAGCCCGGCGUGUCGGGCGCCGCCGUGUCCCUCUCCGUGUCCGUGUCCGGCAGCGGCGGCGGCGCCAUGCGCUCCGGCAGCCUGGGACUCACCCUCAGCCGCGGCCGCUCACUGGUGGGGCCCGACCAACUGCCGCUGCCGCUGCCGCUGCCGCCGCUCAGUACCACAACGGCCGGCGGCGGCGGCGGAGUCGGCGCGGGAGCAGGAGCCGGCGUGGGAGCAGGAGGCGCGGAGACGCCCGCAUCAACGGGAGGAGGAGCAGGAGCAGGCGGCGGGGGCACCCCCUGGAGUGCGCAGCAGCAGCAGCACCCGGGGGGCCUGUUCAGCCCCGGCGCUGGCGGCGGGGGGGCCACGCCGGCGGCUGUGGCGGCGGCGGCGGGCGGCACUGUGAUUGCGGGUCCGGGCGGUCCUCUGGUGCUGGUGCCUCUGACGCGGCGGGAGUCGGGGGCGGGGGCCACACCUAGGUGGGUGCAGCCGUCAUCAGGUGCAAGUGUGGUUGUCCUUGUCCCCUGUGUGUGUCUCCGCACUUGCACCUGCUGCCGCGCACUCGCACCUGCCAAGCCUUAUCUUGCCGCCAUGCCGCCACUGCCACACCACCCCUCAGCCCUGGUCCCGGCUCCCAAGCCCACCUUGCUGAUCCCACACCCCGACACGCACACGCCCACACCCCACAGAGGCAGCACAGGGCCGUCCGGCGCGCCGCCAGUGGGCACCACCACCACCACUGCCGCCGCCACCCCCGCCAGCAGCGGCCCGGCCCCGCCCCCACCCCACAGCGCUGCGGUGCCGCACGGGCUCGGGAACCCCCUACAGCAGCAGCAGCCGCCAGUGCAGCAACAACAGCAGCAGCAGCAGCAGCAGCAGCAGCAGCAGCACAGCCACCAACAUCAACCGCAUCUGCAGCAGCAGCAGCAGCAGCAGACGGCUUCGGGCCACCCCCCGUUCUCACUGGCCUCAGCACUGGCCUCCGCCGCCGCAGCAGCCGCCCAGGGAGUGCUCAUGUCCCCGCCGCAGCAGAUGAUGCAGCCGCUACAGCUGCAGCCGCUACAGCUACAGCCGCUGCAGCUACAGCCGCUGCAGCUCCAGCCGCUACAGCUGCAGCCGCUACAGCUGCACCACCAUCAGCAGCAGGCGGGGAGCACCGCGGAGCCGCCGGGGGCAGGUGGUGGCGCCUUCCGCCGUGUGUCCGCCUUCUCACAAGGCGGGGUGGGACCUGGCGAUUACCUGGGGGAGGAGGACGGGAAAGAGGGGUAUGGGGGUGAGGACGAGGGCGAGGAGGAGGAUGACGACGAUGAGUGGGAGGAUGCGGACGCCCCGCUGGCGGGGAGAGCCAGGAGCGGCAACGCGGGCGGCUCUGAGGGGGGCGGCAAGAGGCAACGUGUCAUGGCGGAGGAAUUCUAGGGUGCCCGCGGACUAAGAUUGACUCCAUUGGUUGGAGUGUCUUUGCUUGCGCAUCAACGUGCGCCUGUCGCUCAGUUGGAUCCGGGUGCGUGCCCGUGCGUGCCGGCACAUAUCGAAAGCGUCCGUGAUCCUUGAAAUUGUGCAGAUAUGUAAGUCAACGCGCUCACUAGCAGCUGUAAGCAUUAGACCACAUCAAAUAGCAAAACGAACGUCAAGCUCUCGUAGUUUCGCGCCCUGUGUAGUCAAUGCCAGCUUGAUACACAGCGACGCUUGACAUCUAUAAUUGCAGAGAUAUUACAGGUUACUAGAAGAAGAAAUGCGCAGCUCAUGGUGCAGCGGCAUUGAACCGCGCACAAACGGGGUUUCGCGCAACACUCUUGCUGAAACGCUGUUAGCCCUUUGAUAUCUACAAACACAAUGCAUCGACAAAGAUCUGGACUGGCGGUGAUGCUUGCCUUGACAACAGCACUUGCGCUCGUCGGCCCGCCCGCUGCUGCGGCCGCGUCCGGGCCAUCGAAGCCCAAUCCAUCGACGCCCGGCCCGCUCAACGCGCGCGCCAGUGACCCGAUGGAACCCGAGCUCGCGGGUCUACGACGACAGCUGGCAGAAACCCAGGCCGCCCUGGAUUCAAUCGCGACACGCGUGGGGCUGAUGAGCCCCCAGGCCGCCGCCACCGGCCCUGCCUCCGGCCAACCCCGGUCCGGCCCCGCGCCCUACACCCGCACCCAGCUGCUUUCCACCCUGUCUGCCGCCGCUACAGCCCCCACUUCGUCCGCUGCUACAGCCGCUGCUGCAGCUGCCGCCAGCUCCGCGGCUCGCGAGCUGCUGGGGGCUGAGCAGCAGCUGCGCACGGAGGUGGGGGUGGCGCUGCAGCGCGCCAACCACCUGCGGCCCGACGGCGGCACCAGGCUGCCUGAGGCGGAGGCGCACUACAGGUGGGGGCGUGGGGCGUCUGGGCGUGUGUGUGUGUGUGUGUAUAUAUAUGAGAGGCAGUGACCUUCUUCCCUCUGUUGUGUUCCCCGUGGGUUCCUCUCUGUCGCAGGGUGGUCCUGUCGGCAAUGGUGGAGGCGGAGCAGGAGGUGGAGGUGGAGGCAGUGGCAGCAGAGGCAGCUGGGGCGGCGGGAGCAGCAGCAGAGGCAGCGGCGGGGCAGCGGCGUCAGCUGCAUCAGGCUCGGCUGGUGCGGCUGGGUGUGUGGGGCAACCUGGCGGCUCUGCUGCUCGAGGCGGACCGGCCGCACGAGGCGCUGGAGGAGCUGCGGGGGGCGCUGGAGCUGGUAGGGCGGGUAGGGCGGGUGGUUAUUUGGUUGGUUGGUUGGUUGGUUGGUUGGUUGGUUGAUGGGUGGGUGGGCGUUCGUCUUCAAUGGUUACAUACAUGGACUGCAAGGUGGGCGUGUGGGGAGGCGGCAUGUGUGCACAUGGACCCCCGCCUCGACCUAAUCUCCACAUCCGCCCACACGCCUCAAACUCGACCUCAACCUGAACCCCACCUCCACUGCUGCACGCCCUUCCCUCCUCGCUCUUUGAGUUGGGUUCGGUUUAGUUUGGGCUGACAUCUUCCACCACCACCCCCCCACACACACACACACACACAGGCUGAGGCCAACGACCUCACCGACGCCACCACCGCCCACACGGACCUGCCCGCCAGCCCCUCCCUCUCCCCCGGCCCCUCCUCCGGCCCCUUCAGCCCCCAGGCGGGUCUGGGCAAUCUGGUGUGUGGCCUGCGCUUCAACGCCGGCAAGGCACUGGCGGCGGUGGGUGGGUGGGGGGUGACAGCGGGGGGUGAGGGAUGGGGGAAAAGGGGUGGGUGGUGGGCGAGGGGUGGAGGCCUGGAAGGUGUGGGUUGUGGCCAAUGGGUUUGCGGCCAGUUUAUUCAAUGGGGCACAGGGACCGCGAGCUCGCAUGGGCGGCUCUGCGGGCGGAUCGCGUGAACUCGCAGACCUAGCACCACACGCAGAACGGGCAGGGGCAGGAGCAAGCAGGCAGGCACAGUUGCUUGACAUUGCAUGCGUUGUGUGUGUGUGUGUGUGUGUGUGUGUGUUUGGAUGUGUGCAUUGCGUGUGUGUGUGUGUGUGUGACAUACUUGUGCCGCCCUGCCCCCUUCCAGGUGGGUCGCACGGCUGAUAGUGAGGCGGCGUAUGCGGCGGCGGCCCGGGGCGCAGUGGGACUGGACCCGGCCUGCUUCGCCAAGGUGUGUAUGUGUGUGGGGGGGGGGUGGGUAGGGGGAGGGGGUGCUUGGGGGGUGCUGGUGUGUGGAGGAAGGACGGGUGGGUGUGUCGUGCGUAUGGGGUUGUUCUGGUGUUGGCGUUGCUAGGCGGCUGCACGGCCCACAAACGACUGUGGCGUUUACUGACCAUGUUCCCAGUGUUGUUGUUUGGCUGGAUGGUUUCAACGUACGUGCCCGUAUGGCCGCAUUUCAGUUGGGCGUCAGACUUCCCCUCGUCGACUCUCAGAGCAACUGUGCAUUUGGCUCCAUCACGUGACAGCAUGUCCCCUCCUCUGUCCCCAGCAAUUGGCUCGCAGUCACGCACACUAACACACUUACACACACAUACGCACACACUUACACACACACACACACACAUCCACACACACACACAUUCACACAUCCACACACACACACACACGCACACACACACACACACACACACACACAUCCACACACACACACAUUCACACACACACACACACACACACACACACACACACGCGCACACAAACACACACACACACACACGCGCGCACAGGCCACUGCCGCCAUGACCCGCCUCCCGCCCGACCUGGCCGCACACGUGAGGGCGGCGGUGGCGGCGGCGGCGGACAGCGGCCUCACAGCCCGACUGAUCCGGGCGGCGGCGCGGCAGGCACGGCGGGCGGCGGCGGCGGCGGCGGGUGGAGCUGGGACGGCGGCGGGGGCGACAGAUGAAGAGGAGGAUGAGGGGGACGAGGAGGCGCUGCAGCAGACGUUGGCAGCGGCAGGGGAGGCCGGCGGUGUCGGGGGCAGUGCGGCAGACGCCGCCGCCAGUGCCGCCUCAAUAGCAGUACUGGCGCAGUUGCCGGGACUGGGCAGCAGCAGUAGCAGUAGCGGCAGUAGCAGCGGCAGUAGCGGGGAAGGCGACGGCAGCAGCAGUAGCAGCACCGGGGCCGCUACUGCCGCCGCUUCGUUCCUGACGGCGGCGGCUGCUGCUGCGGGUGGGCGGCGGCGGGGUGGCUGGCUGGCGCCUCUGAGUGCGCAGGAGCUGGGGUGGCUGCACUUCGCGGCGUGGCGGCAGAUGGACGGGGAGGGGGAGGGGGAUGGGGCGGACAAGGAGGGGGCGUCACCGCAGGAGGCGUGGGAUGUGCUGGUCAAGGUGAGGCGGGGCCGUGGGGAGGUGGGGUGUGGACAAGAGGCGUGCCUGUCAUCAAUGCUGCAUAGGGGGCUCCCGUGCAGGGGGCACGGACGCUCUGUUGUUGUUCCAUGGUCAGUCGCUUCACACGAAUCAUUCCCUUCAGCACGCGCGUCAGACUUGUGCUGUCUGCCAGCACCCGCCGUCAUGCGUCCUCGUGCCUCUCGGCUAUCUUACUGGGGAUGGUGCGCGCGCACACACACACACACACACACACACACAGGCCAACCAGCUGCUGGCGCCCUCGCCGCCCUACGACCCCGCCACCGACUGGCGCCAGCUCGCCACCCUCACCGCCGUGUUCACACGCCGCCUGCUGCAGGCGGCGGAGGCGGCGGAGGCGGCGGCGGCGCGGCGGGGGCGGAGGGGAGGCAGGGGCAUCCAGCAGGGGGGAGCGGUGGGGGAGGAGGGGGAGGGGGAGGAGCCGCGCGGGCGGCGGGCGGUGUUUGUGAUGGGCCUGCCGCGGAGUGGGAGCACACUGGUGGAGACGGUGAGUGGGCAUCUUCCCGCAUCUACUGACUACUACUACUAUUGAGAUGUCCGCGCGCAUGCGCACCUGGUGGCUGUGGGGUGCUAUUGCUGGUGCGAUCGUCGCUUGGGAGUGCCGUUUGGGAACUGUCGCCGCAUGUGGUAUGUGUGUGUGUGUGUUUCAUGCGUGUGUCUUGUAGAUGCUAGCCGCUAUCCCCGGUGUGUGGGGUGCGGGCGAGGACACCGCCAUGGCGCCCCUCACCACCGCAGUCAACCAGCUGCUGGCCACACAGGUAGGGGUGGCGAAGGAGCGAAGGGGAGAGGGGAAGCAGGGAAGGGGGGAUGGGAAAGUGGGUACAAGAGCGUUGCGGCGCCCACACCGUGUGUGUGAGCCCAUAACGCCACUGAAAUCUCUUGCACGGAUGCCUACAUGUGUGCACAGGGUCUGUCACAGCCGGACAAGUUGGCGGAGUAUGGGCGCCGGUGAGCCCCGUCGGUUGGGGUGCGGGAGUGAGCUGGCGUGGACAGGCGGCUACGAUGCAUGGCAGGGUAUGAGCGAGUAGAGGAGAGGCUGAUAUGUAGUGGAGCCGUGAGACGCGGUACGACGGGUUUCACGUACACACGCCCUCCUGACACACGUGCGCGCACACACACAUACACACACAUAUAUAUACGUUUUCCUUGUGCUCUUUAACAUAUAUAUAUAUAUAUAUAUAUAUAUAUAUAUAUAUAUAUAUACAUUCGCACAAACAUGUGUCACGAAUCCCCAUUGGUGAUUUGAGUAAACUGCCCACCCCCCACCCUCUUCAGAAAUGAUGAGUGUCACCCGCACACACACACGCACACACUCUCGCACACACUCUCUCUCACCACCGCAGCUACACGGCUGUCAUGCUGGAGCGCGCCGCCGCCAGUGGGCAGGGCGGCUGGGGCCCCGGCCGGCCGCCGCUCAGGACCGUGGACAAGAUGCUGCGCAACCUGUGGCUGGUGCGUGUUCUUAAAUUUGUGUGCUCGUGCGCGCGUGUGUGUGAACGUGUGUGUGCAUAUGUUUGUUUGUGCGUGUGUGGGGGGUAGAGAGAGGAGGGGAGCGCGGGAGGGGAUGAUGGGGGUGUGCUUGUGCGUCUUGGGGGCCGCACGGGGGAGGGGGAGAUGCGGUCGGCGUUGGAGGACUUGCAAGAGCAUGGAAACGGGUCAGGUGUGUUACGGCGGGCCGCUGGCUCCUCAACAAUCUGGUGGCCACUUUGGAACUGCCCCGCCACACCUCCCUCACCACCCUCCCCUCCCCUCCCCCACCACCCUCCCUCAUAAGGCCCCUACACUGCACAUGCCGCAAUCCGUCGCACUCAACUAGCAGGGCUGCAUGGGGUCUUAUUCUCGUGCUACUUGCGCCGCGCCUUACCGCCCCCCCUGCACCUGCGCCGUGCAUGUGUAACGCGGGGUCUGUUGCGGCGCCUGCGCUUGCAGCGCGCAGGGGAGUACACGCAAGCCAUAAUUCGGAAGUUCCGCGGCGGCAGCGUUGCACGCGCCUCUGCAUAUGCACCCAACCGCUACUGAGCUUUCUGCCAUCGCUAUCACGGUCAGCCGUCACGGUCAACCGUUUAGAGCAACUGGGGGGGGGGAGCGCAGCAGCUUUCGGAGGGUCCACGCGCCGGAGCUGGCCGCUGGACUUGACGGACAUUGGUAACGACGCACCGUUCUGUGCCUGGCGGCAACUUCAUUUGUUAAUCAAUCACCAUAUAUGCAACCGCCCCGCCCCACCCCGCCCUGCGUUUGGCUACAACUUCAAUGCUUAGUUACCCUGUAUGCAACCUCCCCGCCCCACCCCACCCUGCCCUCCCCGCCCAGAUCGGCUACAUCCAGCUGCUGCUGCCCGGCUCCUGCCUGGUGGCUGUAGCACGGCACCCGCUGGACGCCGGGCUGAGCUGCUACAGCCAGCCCUUCGGCUACAGCGGCGUGCCCUGGGCCUGGAGCCUGGAGCACAUCGGGGAGCAGGUGGGGAGGAGGGGGGAUCGGGUGGGGUGGGGUUGUAAAUACCAGCCCAAACUAAACCAAAACCAGCGAAAACGAGGGGAGUGCAGGCAGAGGCGUUAGUUGCAAGCGAUAAUACUUAUGGGAUGUGGGCCGAGGCGUCGUGGAGCAGCAGGGCGAGCGGCGCCGGCGAUAAAUGUCGCCGCCCGGGCUCGGUGGCGCGCACAACAGCACAGGGCAGACACGCGGACGCGACACGGGGGUGGGGUGGGGUGGGAGAGAGGGAUCGGGUGGGGAGCAGGUGGGGAGGGCAAGAGGCUGACAUGGGCAGGUGCAGGGCUGUCCCAACCGCUCCCAGUAACACAGGCAGGGGGCAGGGGCAGGUGGUGUAGGAGUGGUGAUGGUGUUGGUGUGCCUCUGCCCCAUUGACCAGCUUCACGUGCACGUGACGGCUUCAUGCACGCACGCAUACUGCACACACAUCCCCACGCCCACACCCCCGAACUCCGCUUCUUCUGAUUCAAUCAUGAAUGUAACGCCCUCUCCCGCCAGAUCCGUAUGACUGCGGCGCUGCUGGCGCACUGGCGGCAGCACCUGCCGCCCGGCCGCCUGCUCACACUGUACUACGAGGAGGUGCGUGUGUGUGGAAUGUGGGUGUAUACACACGUGCGUUUAGACCUUCUGUCCAAACACGCACACACGCACAGCCCCCCCCCACCUCAUCCCACGCCACCCCCCCACCACACACACACACACACACACACACACACGCAUACACUAUCCUACGCGUAAUGUUUUCCUUGUGCUCUUUAACACACACACACGCAGCUGGUGGCAGCGCCCGAGGCCACCGCGCGGCGGCUGCUGGCGCACUGCGGCCUGCCCUGGGACCCCGCCGUACUGGCCUUCCACACCUCCAACCGAACCGUGGCAACCGCCAGUGUCGUACAAGUACGGCAGCCGCUGUACACCAAGGCGGUUGGGCGCUGGCGUAAGUACGAGCGGCAGUUGGCGCCGCUGGCGGCGGCGGUUGCGGCUGAGGUACGGCAGUACGAGGCGGAGGUUGAAGUGGCGGUGCGGCGGGCUGUGGCGGCGCAGCGGCGGCUGCAGGAGGCGGCGGAGGCGGCGGAGGCGAGCAAGGCGGCGGCGGAGACGGAGGGGAGAAAGGCGGCGGCGGAGGGGAGAAAGGCGGCGAAAGCGGCAGAGGGGAAGGAAGGGGGAAGGGAGGGGAGAAAGGAGGAGGGGCAAGGUGGGAGCAGUGGGAGAGGGCAGGCAAGGGGGAAGGAGGCGGGGGAAGGUGGCCGGACGGAUUCCAGUCGGUCUGAGCUGUGAGGGUCUAGACAUGAUGAGCUGUGUGACGUGCGGUUGCUGUGUGCACACGAGUGGGACCUGCUGACGUAUUGCAUAUCAGCUGGGGAGGCGCGUGGGGUGCGUCUGCUGCCGCGAAGGCCGCUGCGCUCUGGGUUCGUGACUCGUGAGCUACUCCGUCACCGGCUACUCUGUUUGGGGGGCGUUGCUGCUUUGCUGCGCAACGUGUUCACUGUUCAGGUGUUGUGGCAAGCAGUGAGCGAGGCAGUGCAGGUUCCGGACCAGGUUCCGGACUGUGAAUGGGAGGCCGGUCUCGUGUCCGUCUCCGUCUCCACGGGUGUCGCCCCGACCGGCUGGUGUUCGGGCCGGCCGUGAGACCUGCUGUGUGCGCCGCGGCGCAUGCGGGUGGCCGCACCGGAGGCCCCUCACCCCCUUUCCUGUGUAUGUGUGUGUGUGUGUGCGUGUAUGUGUGUGUGUAUGUGUGCGUGUGUGGAUGUGUGAAUGUGUGUGUGUGGAUGCGUGUGUGUGUGUGUGUAUAUGUGUGUGUGUGUGUGUGUGUGUGUGUGUGUGUGUGUGUGUGUGUGUGUGUUAAAAAACGAAACGAAAGCCCGCCCAAUGACGCGACGGAGUUACUUACCGAUACCCACCAUUUUACCGAGCGUCGCGUGACUGUCGUGACCCAGGUAGUCAUACUUACCCGCGAUAAGCCUGGAACCCCACGGGCGACCAUUCGGCCUGACCCCGCGAUGCACCUGUAUGCGUCCAUGCUCCGCACCCUGGGCGCGCUAAACAACGUUUACCCAGCACGCCUAAUUCCCGGAUUCCCGCCCGCUGGUCGUAGUCGAGCUCACCUAUAGGCAAAGGUGGAAGCAUGGGCAUAGGGCGGCAGCGAGGAAGUGUCACGGGCAUGUGAAUGGCAACGGCGAUAAGAGAGGCGGCGUGCAGCAGACAAGCUAGGUAUCACGCGUCCCAAAUCCCGCCCACUAAGUACAAUAACACUAAUGGAAGAGGGCGAGUUAGCGGUGGCACUGCGACUAAACGGGGUCGAGGCUGCAUGGGGGACGUGGCGGGCGGCGGUUGCAGCGUUUCCAGACGCGUGUCAAGCUGGUGUGUGUGCGUGUGACGUGUGUGCGCCGUGGGCUGGCGGGAGCUGGCCUCCCGCUCCCCACUCCACGGCGGCACCGAGGCUAGGCACGCUCGCGGCCGCAGUGGCCGCGUCGGCUGUUCGUGACGAGCCCCCCAACCCCCACCCCCCAGAAUCCAGUUACCCCCCUGAUAGUGCCAAACACGCGCCGCGACGUGUCGCGGGUAGUGCCGCGCCGUACGCCUCGGCGACCUGGCCGUACUCCGUGACGAGGUCCGCCGUCCGCCAGAGACACCAGAGCCAUCAGGUGGUCGCAGAAGGUGACCGAGCGGUACCGAUGGGCAUAUCGCGCAUGCAUCGCGGGCACCGGACGGGGUCCCAGACCUGUGACGCGGGCUUAAGAGACAAAUAGCGCGGUGCUGGUACCGAGACCAGCGGGAACAGGGCGACGAAGGUGUUGAAGUUGCGCUCGUCGUCGCCCAGUCCGCCAGGUCGCCCAAACUACCCCAGCUCCGCGCACCCGGCCCAUUUGAAAGGUACAGUACAGUUUAGCAAAAGCAAUACCCGGGGGCUUAAAAGCCCUCAGCCCAAAGGCCCGCCCAUAGGUCCCUCAGUGGAAAAGCGAGCCCCAGCCAGAAGCGCCAAGACCCGUCCUGACUUCCUGAAGCCCUGAUGGCCCCUGACGAUCCACAGAUGACACAGGUAGUGCCCUUGUGUUAAAAAACGAAACGAAAGCCCGCCCAAUGACGCGACGGAGUUACUUACCGAUACCCACCAUUUUACCGAGCGUCGCGUGACUGUCGUGACCCAGGUAGUCAUACUUACCCGCGAUAAGCCUGGAACCCCACGGGCGACCAUUCGGCCUGACCCCGCGAUGCACCUGUAUGCGUCCAUGCUCCGCACCCUGGGCGCGCUAAACAACGUUUACCCAGCACGCCUAAUUCCCGGAUUCCCGCCCGCUGGUCGUAGUCGAGCUCACCUAUAGGCAAAGGUGGAAGCAUGGGCAUAGGGCGGCAGCGAGGAAGUGUCACGGGCAUGUGAAUG
rnacentral:lncRNA from 1 species